rnacentral:lncRNA from 1 species
UCCAACAUCGCCACCUUAUCUAAUCAGAGCUCGACUCUGCCAAUCAGCCUUACCUCUGCGAUGCUGCUGUGCCAUGCGUGGCGCCACUCUCCAAUCUUAUAUCCUUACCGGCGCUGCACCGCACUGCAGCAUAGUGUGUUCUAGUCUUGCCCUUUGCUCUUCGCUGUGUUCCCCCCUCUCCGCUCUAUUCGUCGAAACAAUGGCGGCCGCCACUGCAUGCGCUUCGACCACCUUCGCCGGGCAGUCUCUGCUCCGGCCUGCCAAUGAGCUCGCCCAGAAGGUGGGUUCCAACCAGGCCCGCGUCGUGAUGAGGGGCAGCAAGUCCAGCAGCGGCAGCAUGUGGUACGUUUUCUUGGUUUUUGACUGGGACAUGUGCUAUUGGAAUAGCGUGUCUCGCAUUCUGUGAGCUUGUUGUGUACUUGCCUAUCAAGUGCAAUAGGCUAAACCUCAGAUUUUCAUUGGAAUGGGGUGCACCGAGUAUUUCACCUAAUAGCCUUUCCAGGCGUUGUGCUAGCGCCUGCUAAUCUUGAGUUAUUUUGCAGUUGUCGUUUUGUUUUGUAUCAUUGGCCACCCUCCGCCGUGUAGGUGGAAUGUUUCGAAUUCAAUGUCACUGUCCACAAUUACGAGUGCAGUCUUCUUUUUUCGGUGUUACUGUUGCUAUUUCGCGCAGAGGGAAUUGUUCGCAUCAUGUUGACAUCGUCGUUCUUAGAGCCGAUGUUGACCACCAAAGGAAUUUUUUGAGAGCUCUAGUUAAUCAAUACAUGCAAUGCUGCAGGUACGGUCCCGACAGGCCCCUGUUCUUGGGUCCUUUCUCCGGUAACACCCCCUCCUACUUGAAGGGCGAGUUCCCUGGUGACUACGGAUGGGACACUGCUGGACUCUCCGCCGACCCCGAGUCAUUUGCCCGGAACCGUGCUCUUGAGGUACCACUUUUCCUGACAUUGAUUGAACUACUCACCAUUCUCUUGAUAACCUACCACUGGGUUAAGGGCUGUGCCCCCACAAUUCACCAAUAUGCGCUGGGUGUAGGGAUUGAGUUGUUAAAUUGUAUGCGCAGUUGAUUCAUGGAAGAUGGGCUAUGCUCGGAGCCCUUGGCUGCAUCACCCCCGAGCUUCUCCAGAAGUACUCCCGUGUGACUCUCAAGGAGCCAGUAUGGUUCAAGGCCGGUGCUCAGAUCUUCAGCGAUGGUGGUUUGGACUACCUCGGCAACCCCAACCUCAUCCACGCUCAGAGCAUUCUCGCUGUGUGGGCCGUCCAGGUCGUACUCAUGGGCGCAGUUGAGGCAUACCGAACCAAUGGUCUUCCCGGAGUCGGUGAGGGUGGCGACCUUUACCCCGGAGGCAAGUACUUCGACCCCUUGGGUUUGGCUGACGACCCCGAGACUCUCGCUGAGUUGAAGGUGAAGGAGCUCAAGAACGGCCGUCUGGCUAUGUUCUCUAUGUUCGGAUUCUUUGUCCAAGCCAUUGUGACCGGAAAGGGCCCCCUGGAGAACUUGUUGGAUCACCUCGCCAACCCUGUUUCCAACAACGCUUGGGCUUUCGCCACCAACUUCACCCCCGGGAACUAGAUUAAGUAAGAUUGUGGUCGACUAGUAUCUGUCCAUUGUAUGGCUGCGUUGCAAGAAGCUGUAACAUAGAGGUAGCCGUUUCUGAUGUCCGUGCUGUUUGCUCCUUCAUGUAAAUGUCGAUUUGUCAGGAAAAUGGAUCCUCAUUCCUCCACUUACGCUUUCCCCACAGGCAGAUCUGUUAUAAAGGUUUCGAAUUUAACUAGUCAUCAUAGUUGAUACCUAAAUCACAAUCAACUAUGAUGACUAUGACGAAUUUGAUUUUGGUACUCUAUCAAGAUUCAGUGAUUAAAUGCCGAGAAAUGAGAUCUAACUACAUCAGCUUUUGAAUCAAAUAUCGUACAUCAAAUCGUUGAUUCUAUGACAACAAUACGAAGUUGGCAGUCUCAAACGUAUCACUGUAAACUAUUAUCAAAUUCAGUUAGACAUAUCUCAAAUCCCUCACAGUUUACUCAAACGCCACCUCUCUCUCACACAUGCACAAAAUUCCGAAUCGCACACUUGCACACCGGAACAUAUCCCGAAUCAGAGUCAUGCCUAUUUACACUGACUAGGAUAGAAUUGAAGGACCAAUAGCCUGGACAGCUCGAAGUUAAAACUGAAGUACACAGUAAUUUCUUUUUGGAAAGAAAAAAGAACGUAUACACUUUCAAUGGAACAACUCAUAUCAAAAAUAAAGCACAUUAAAUCAGAACAAUUCAAAUCAAAAUGCAAUUCUCUCUGUUGAUUCCUUCAAAGUUGUAGCGUUCACGCGACUUUUGUCACGUACAGGCACUGCACAUGGGGUUAUUUUUCUGCCAAGUCUUCUAGUGAAAAUGUAACCUUGGACGUUGAGGAUUGCAAUUCCCAGAUAGUCCUGUUACAUUUGUUAUCAAGCUGUGCUUUCAAACCCUAGCGAAGUGAUCCUUGAGCGUCUCUCUGGUGUGUUCCUCUCAUGUGAUGUCUGAUCAUACAUGCACUGAUAAUUUGCACUUCUGUAUUCACCUGGGAAUGCACGUCACUUAACACCCGAACUUAAUUGCUUGCUACUGAGGUGUAUUCUUUGAUUGCCCUGAUAAGUGACAUUGGCCACUUCUUUAGACCGGAGGAUCCCAGAUGUCAAAAGUUUCCACUCUGCUCCAUUCGAUGGCCCUUCAAGCCACUUACACGGCCAUAAUUGUCCCAUUCUGCCUCGAACCUCGAUUGGUGCAUUCGAAAUAUAUUGAUGUUGCAGCACCCUCUAUAUCCUUGAUCGAGCUGAAGAUCAUCUUGAAAAUGACCUAGAUAAAAGUUGUCUCACCCUGCCGAAUAAGUGCAUACCUAACACUCUCUUCAGUUUGUUACAUGGAGCAGGGCGUUCAUUAGGAAAAAGAAACAAAUCCCUUUUUUGAGUUGCAUGCCGGUAAAGACAACCGUCGAAGAAGUAUAGAACAUUGCCCACUUCUGGUGUACAUGAGUUCGGUACUGAGUAUAUUGACAGGACUCAUUCAUGCCAGCAGAAUGUCGAUUCCACCAGAAAUUAGAAUUGGACAUCCGGUCCCUCAAAUGAGAAAUUACCCAAAGUCGACGAAGGUGUGAUUGACACGUCGGCUGAACUGGGAGUCCACGAAUAAGUAACCAUAAUAUAAACAAGCAUCACUGGCUAGAUCACCAGCAGUCCACAACAGUACCGACAUGACGAGUAAGAAGGACACAGCAUAAGCCUUGAGCAUCAGCAAUGUCACUUCUCUGCAAGAAUCGAACUGGUACCACAUUUGUUCCUCCAUGAACUUCAUCGGGGUAUAAGAAUGCUAUUUACGUCUACCUAGCUUAAAUAACUUCCGGGUGCGUCCUGAGUGAUGAAGCUGGUACGACGUACCGAGUCUACAAAUUAUCAGAUACUUAACAACCAACCUAUCAAUAAUCGUUUGCAGGGGCAGAAGGCCUGUGAGGAAACAGAACUGCAGUCUCAGGCUCAAAACCGAAGACACCCUCAACUCAGGAGCGGUGAGCACCACGUCCCCCAACUGUGGACCCCAAAAGAGCCAAGCUGAAACUGAAGGAGUUUCGAGAUUGCAAGGCGUUGCAACAAGCUGUCAGAGUGUCGGCAUAGAAUACUGUCACGUUGUUGCUAGUAAUAUGAGCUCCCUCCGCUGCAACAAACAGAAUUCCCGGAUAGUCGCAGGCUUGAGAGGCUGAUAUCUCAACAAGUUGUUUUCCUUGAUCGCCCUUUGAACGCUAGAGGAACUACUAUGAAAACGUCGCAAACCGAAGUUGUCGAGGUUUGCACUGCGCGCAUGUCCACGACAACUCGCAAAGCUGGUCCUGUGACUACGAAGUCUGCAAACACCUACAAACUUUUAACCCCUCAUGAAGUGAUCGGACAAGAACUGGACAUCAAAAGCAAAUGAUGCAUAACGGACAAUUGCUUCAAAAGCCCAGCACCUGGUGAUUGAAUCAGGCUUGCACAGUUUCCUGGAGUGGCCGUUUUUCUCGUCGGCUACGGUACAACGAACUUCGAGAUGCUAAACCUGGAGGGUGGCGGGAUGGCAUAAUUUAGCCUCAUCCAAGUGGGCGUCGCAGGAUUUGUGUGCACGUGGGGCAAGUGUGCGAUCUAUGUAGAUUUGGAAACUCCUGGUGCAGCUCACAUGUCACAAGCCAGUUUGUCCAAGUGACCUGCAUCGCACUUCCACUUUCACUUCCAUGCCGCACCUUCAUGGCAUUGCAUGUUGCUUCCCACCAGUGCCUCGAAGGUCGCCUCCUGCAGCGUGCCUCCGACUGGGUCCUGCCAUGUCCAGGCCUUCCUUCCUUCCUUCCUUGUCCAUGCCGACUGUUUUUAAAGCAUUUGGAGCCCGUUUUCCAGCACUGGACGAGUCAGACAUGGAAACUGGGUUUGAGACUUACAUUUCGAUAUGCUUGCUAUGAUCCAUAUAAAGUAAUUGCAUAAACAAACUUACCACGUACUUUUUCAGGAGAAACUGAGGAGUCGUUAUCUUUCAAAGUGGUUCUUGUUACAAUCAUGGAAUAGUUGCUAUUGGAUAUUAAUGUUUGAUGAAACUUCAAAACACCAAAAUAUGAUGUCAAUAGAAGGCUACUGUACUGGAAGGAAAUUGGGCCAUGUGUAUUCUUUAACGGAUUUAUUUUUAUCCUAUUUCCCUGCUUUGACAAGAAAACCACAACUCAUUAAAUUUCAUUCUAGACCACAUGAUGGAGUUCACAUAUCUAAAUUACUCUCAUCGACGUUUCAACACUGCUAAAAAUGUUGAAAAUGGCUUAAAGUAUUUUUUUAAAUUAAGAAUUUUACGAGUGAGGAUUCUAAUUCUUAUCCAUUUUUAUAAUCUUUAUAGUUUAUGCAUUUUUUUUACAAUAUUAUUCAAGAAUAUUUUUUAAAAUAACUUUUUGCAUCAACUACUUAAAUUUCAAGUACAUGAGUAUGCUAAAAUGAUGCUAUUCAUGAAAUAGCUGAAAUUUAACAAACUAGAAGCAAAUAUGACACUGGAGGUGAAGAAAAGUUUUCGACAUGUUGUGAACGCUUAAACGAUUGAUUAUUGAGUCAAAAAACAAAUGAUGUUUUUUCAUUAACUUUGGACCUAUGAAAUGCAUUUCCUUCCUCCCUCUUACAUUAAAUAACAAGACACUAAAUCAAAGUAUGUUUUUUACACUUCGAGAUUGAGUCUCUGUGCAAUAGAACAUCAACAACUUCUCUACCAUAAAGAAUUAUGUAUUAUGCACCAUACAUUCGUCUAAUUCUACUGUAAAGCGGCUCUUAAGUGUGCUCCUAGAUUUCUUGCCAGUUAGUUCAGUUGGCAGUUCACAGCAUGUGGGAUGAGGAAAAGAACUAUAUCUAUAUAUAUAUAUAUAUAUAUAUACAUACAUACAUAUACAUAUAGGUCUCACAUCUAUUUCACUCAGCUCUGAUUCUGUAGCUUGAGGUUUUUGCUCAGUCAAACGUCUGGGAAGAAUCACCAGCCGAGAUCAGAUCGGUACAUAGUUCAGAUCCGUCUUAUAUUUCACAUCACGUGACAAAACAAAGUACCUGUUCAUCUGACUGUGCUGAACCUCGUGGUGCAGCAGUAAAGCUGAAGCGGUGUUGCAGGAGUGCAACAAGCUACUACAGAGAAUCAGCAGGUUCGAAGUGCCGCAGAGUAGUCAAGGUGUUGAGCGCAUAAGAUCUUUCAUUGACUUGCGUAACAAGUACCUACAUGUCUCAACUUCUACAAGCCUGGUUACCCGCACAAUACACCCCAUAUAUUGGAUCCACCUCCCUUGGUCCGACGACCGCAGGAAUUGACGGCAAAGACCAACUGUAGCCAUGUAUACUCGUCUCCAACUUGCAGGAGUUGCAUUGUUCAAAGCAUAUAAUUGCACGAAUCAGCGUCAGAAUUAUGACCACUGCAUGGUCCGGCACUGAUCAGUGUUCCAUUUGCAGACAACCCACUUGAACGACGAAUGCUAGACUGGUCAGCUGCUAAUCCAGUUUCUGCGCCGCUAUAGUAAUACCUGACUUCGCUUGAAGCCUAUUUCGCUUCACUUGCGUCAGCGGUAUUGCAAGUUGCGAGACUUCUGCGAACUUUCAAUCUAAUUCAAAACAGUGCCACCAAUUAUAUAUUGAAUUGGGGUUAGAUUUGUUUAAGCUGUACCCACCUCAUCAACAGCUUACUGGAGAACGAAUUUCGCGUAAUUGACGCCUUGUGGACAAUUAGGUUGCUCAACAGACCAUCUGGAAGCGCUUCAGACUUUCUUCUUGUUUUUUUAAGUCGGCUUGGAAUAUCAUUAAAAAUCGCUCACUAGUUACAGACUAACUACCAGGGAUGCAAGUGGGCUCUUGUCUAAUUUUACUUUCGAAGCUAAAACCGUAAAAAUGCGCCAUUCCUUUCCAGUCGAUUCUUCCCGGUUUCGCAAUAGUGUUUAGUGCUUUAGAAUAUUCUCUGGACCAAAUCAUUCUUCCUUCGAGCAAUUCGAGUGCUAUUCUUACUGUAUCAAGAGGGCACAUUCAAUGAACUUCAUAGUAGUUGGUAGAUCUCAACAUAGUCCGCGUUCUAUGAUCGAGGGAUGUACAUGUUCGCAGUUCUGUCACAUGAGACAUCAACCUCUCAAACGAUUCUAAACCAGAUUCGGAUGAGGCCGACCACGACACGAGGCAUGUAAAACUUGCGAAGUGAUGCUGCCAGAUUCUUUCUGUAGCGAAAACUCUGCCAGCACUACAUGACUAUGUGUACUUAACUUAAACCUAAGGCAUUUCCAAAGAUCCAAGCAACCAUUACUGAGAAUCAUCAAGCAAGCAUUAGAUCGUUUGUUCACAAGAUGUUUAAAAAGACGAAAACUGUGUUCCUGAUAUUUUUUGAAGGGUUCGGGGUUGAGGAUCAGCUGAUUCAGGAGCAUCACCGCUGCCACCAGAAGCACCUUCGAAUGCAUAGCAUUACAUUUCUGGGCUCUAGAAAUACACAACUUUGGGAACUCCUGCAGCAAAAAACUCAACUGUGUGAAGCAUGUGGUGCUUGCGUAUUGAAGUCUGCAUCGCUGAACUGAAGAAAGCCUCUUCUUCUUCUUCUUCUUCUUCUUCUUCUUUGGCAUUUGUAAAAGAUAUUAGUAUUCGUCCAUUGAUUCUGUGAAAAUUGCAUAUUAUUUCUAUACAUUUGUGGAACUAAAAGUUCUUUUAAGUGGUACCCAACUCUGUAAAAACUAGUAUCAAAAAGAUUGGCUAUGAAAUCAUAACCAUAUCUGCUGGAACCUUGAGCAGGGUUUACUCCUGCUGGGAGAUAUAUAUAUAUAUAUAUAUAUAUAUGAUUAUUUCCCUUUUUGUAUUUAGGAUUUGAAAGACAUCGGGACAAUGCACAUGAAAAACUUAAUCUGCACAUGACUGGUUCAUCCACUAGAGUGAGAGCAUUAUCUUUUUUUAUUCCUAAGUACAUUAAUAUAUCUUUAAAAAACUAAAACUAGUCAUAAAAAUAAAUAAAAACAAACAGUUGUAAUGUUCAAAUAAUAUAAUAAUUUCGAAGCACUGACUAUGUUGUGAAAGUCUAAAUUCAUUUUUCAAUUUAUUUAAUAAUGCUCAACGGUAUGAGCUGUGAUAUAUAUAUAUAUAUAUAUAUAUAUAUUUAUCUAUUAAUUGAUGAGUUUUAUUAACAGUUAAAAUAAUUCAAGUUUGAAUGAUUAUAGUUUUUUUAUGGUGUUGUAAGUAUAGAAAUUGAAGCUUAGUUAGCCUAAGUUUUAAAUCAAUAUUUGAUUACAUACUAAAAAUAAUCAUUGUCAGGCAUGUAAAUCAACCUCAAAUUGCAAAGUUUCAAAUUUUGAGUAUGAUUCUAAAUAAAUAAAAUUAUAUACGUAUAUAUAAGCCACAUUUCUAAGAAUAUUUUUUUGUCAAAAUUUCAUUUAAAAAAUGCUACUAGUGUAAAAAGGAUUAAAAUAAAUAUAUAGAAAAGAUAAAAUAUAUAUACACACUAAAUGCAAAUCCAAUGUUUACCUAAUACAAAUUACUUAUCUAUAUUUGAAAAAUUCAUUAAAAAUAUCACAUUGUUAUGUACAAUAAAUAAAUUAACAUCAAAUUCUAUCUAUUAUGUAUCGUGUUUUUAUUAUUUUAUUAUUUUAUUAUUUUAUUUAUUUAUUUUAUUUUAUUUAUUUUUGUUAUUAAAAAUAAUUCAAUAACCAAUUAAGUAUUGCAUUUAUAUGUAUUAUGUAAAUUUGCAUUAGUAGAUACAAUGUAAAAUCUAUGCAUAAUUUACUUAUAUAUAUAUAUAUAUAUAUAUAUAUAUUUCUAGAUGUUUAUAGUGUAUAUUUUUUAAAUUAUUAUUAAAGUAGUUUUAAAAGCAUAAGAUUAAGGUUGAUUAUGAUAAGUAAUUAUUUAAUUCACCACUUGCACAUUAAUUAAUAACCAAUAUACUACUUUAAAAACUGUUUGUUAGAAAUACUUUAAAAAUAAUAUCUUUACUAAUAUAAACUAUGGAUAAAAUUAUAAAUAUGACAAAUACAUAUAUAUAUAUAUAUAUAUAUAUAUAUAUAUAUAUUACCAAAAUUUAGUGUUUCGUAUGCAAAGUGCAUAUGUCAUUAAGUAUCAAACAUAAUUGUUUUUAAUAAUAAUGAAGUAGGAAAAACUAGAUUAUGAGUUUUUUCCAUAGAGCUCAAACUAAUGAGUUAAAAAAAAAAAAAAAAAAAAAAAAAUACAAAUACAAACAAAAAUGCUAACAGUAAACAAUUCAUUAUUUAUUUAUUAUUUUUUAGUAAAUCUUAUGUUUUAAAAUAAUGAAUGUGUUAUGAAAUAUUUUGAAGAAAAUUUGAAAUUAUUACACUUUUAAGCAAUAAAAUAUGUUUCUGUAUUCCAAGGCAAUUGAUUCGUAGGGUGGAGGUAAAUUUUGAUAGGCUUAUUGUACAAUACACUUUCUCAAUAUUCCUUCCAAAUCACUAUUUAAUUUGAUAAGACAAAAUCUUUUCAAAGAUAGACCAAGUAUAUAAUUUAUGACAUUAAUGCUUACCAUGUUUUCCAAAAGGAUAAAAAAAACAUCUUAAUCCCAUUAAACUAAAACUAUCCCUGCACACCAAAAAUAAAUCAGGAAUAGCUAUCAGACUUUUGAGUGGGCGUCACGCCUUCUUUGUCCUGAACAUUGCACGAUAUCCACCGUGCUCACAAGCUGGACAACUAGAAUUUUCAUGUUACAACGAUUGUUGGUGCUAUCCAAGCUUUUCUUUUACCGCUACUUAGAUGGUUGGCAAUUCAAAGCUUUACAGCAGAACCAACUGUAUCCCAAAGCUUGAGUAAACUUGUACUCCACCAAAUUUGCACUUCCUAGAGUUGGAAGGCUUCACCCAUAUUUGAUAUCUAGUGCAGUAUGGACAUCAAGAGCACUCUUCAACAACUAUUGCUGUUGUGAUGGACGACUGCUUGCUUUUAAGGCACCCGGCAAUUGGUCUCAGCCAACUCAUGUCCUUUCCUGAUAAAAGCACAUGAAGAAAGUUACCAAUACUCAUCACCAAGGCCGCCAUGGAGAAAGUGAUACUCUGUUGCAUAUGGCACCCCCACACUGAAGAGAGCGGAAAAGACCGCCACAGCAAGGGCAAACACAAGAAGAAGCCGAUAUGGAUCGAUCCCCUCGUUCAAAAGAAGAAAUGACUCCAUUACGUCAUCGUCAUUUUCGUCACUCACGUCUUCAACACGAACAUUAACUCGCACCAGAGGACAAGUGAGUAGGCCAAAGAUCAAUCCACUUAUUGCUGCUCCCAGAUGGGUCCUGCAAUACAUGCAAAGAAGCUACAAUAAAAAAUACAAGUAUACAGCAACUGAAACACUAAGAAAGGUAUAGACGAGGAACACAAAAGUAAGACCAGACUUUGAUAUUGUCCAAGUUCCUCCAGGCUUACAAAAAGAAAUUUAUUAGUUCAUUACCUCCACUAAACCAGGUGGAGACUGGAGAGACCUACUUACCAAUCGUCAACAGGGAAAGAGUUACAUAAUGCAUAAGUGAUAGCAGUAAAGAUGACCACUUUCCGAAUUAUUUCACCAGCUACAUCCAGACCAAUAAUAUCUCGGUUGCGUAGUAUAUAGACCACCCAAGCAGCCAUUAAGGCAAAAAUAGGACCCUGUCCAAACCAACAACACAACCAGAUAGACGACAUCGUUCAGAAAGGAAGCAAAGGAUAUAGGUGCAAAGAGCUGAAAAUUAAAACGGGUAAGUUGCUUUCACUUUAUCCGGAUCUCUUCGAUCCUCCAAAAAAAACAAGAUUCAUCUCUCGUAUCGAUAGCCAGACUUCAAGUAGACACACAUAGCUAGAUCGAAGAAAAUAGUGAGAAUCUACACAUGCAGACUACAACGAGGCUGAAGUAAAAACAACUUACAGAGCCGCCAACGGUGCCUUGAGGCGUGUGGAAGAAGCUCAAAAGAUUACCAUACAAACCGCCUAGUAGAUAUAUCGCGGAAAAUCCUAAAGUGCCAAAAGCACUUCCAACUGCUGGUCCAAAUUCUAGCAACGCCCACGUGCUCAAACCUAAGUGCAAAAAGCCUGAAUGCUGCAUUCUCACCAAAAUUUCGAAAAAUCAAAAAAGAUUUUAAAAAUUGAGGAAAAUAUUGAUUCAUCCAGGAUAUAACUCUCGUCCAAAAUCCUGAAAGCAGUGUCUAAAGCGUAACAACAAGCAGGUUACCUCUCUCUGAACUGUCAACAUGACCUCUAAUCUCUUGUCCACUCCGCAAAUGAAAUGUUAAGAGAUAGUGAACACUACGAUUCUACUUGAACAUAACAAUAAGUCUUUCAAAGUAAUAUGCUCCUAAUAAUCUGCUUCAAAAGAAUAAAUUAAAACAUUAGUGCAAGUAAUGUGCAUAUGGGUAAGUUAAAACAAAAACAGGGCGGCGACAAUACUAACCAGAAACGUUGGGGUAAUUAGACGCCACCACUCUCCAUUUACAAUCAACUCGUUAACUUUCGCUCCAUACAGGUAAGGAAGAGAGGCAUCUACCAUACCGGGCACCUCUUGUGGACUAGCCAAACCAAAUAAGUAUACUGCAACAUUUAAAGCUACCAAGCCAUUCCUGCAGGUACAAAUGAAUUUACAUGAAGAUCCUGUGCUUCAAUUACCACGCUCAACUUGUAAGACAGAGAUUCAUCCUUUCAUGCAUCUGAACUAACACACAAGGAAGGCUAUUUAAAAGCCUAUAAAGAGUACAGAGCGUUGAGUACGCGGUAAGUUUUCCCACAGUAACUUGACGUUGUGGAAGAAACCAUCACAUGGUCAAUCGACAACAAACACAUAGUACAACUAAAAAGAGACCAGUAAAACGAUUUUAGAACUCACACAACAUAAGAAUUCGAAUUGGCAGAUUGCAAGCCCCAAGAGGAUUCCUGCAUGAAGUUGUCAUCGUCUGCGGACAAAAGUUUUCCCGACUCCACUUGUUGCUGAAGGGCCUUCUCCAACUCUUCCAUAAAUUCUCUAUAUUCUGCUUCCUCCUCCUCCCCUACAGUGAUGUCCAACUCACUAACAACCUUGAUACUUACUUCUUUCUCGUCUUUGCCUAUGGUCGGUUUGUCCUCUUCCACUACAUUCUUUGUAUUCUCGUAGGAGGUUGAAGCUGCAAAUACGAGAUAUGCCACUCAGCACAUUUUAGAGAUAGGUUCGUUUUAUCCAUUCCAAAUCAGAGGAAAAAAAUAAAUAGAUAAAUGAUUUGGCAAGUGAAUUAAGACCUUUCAGUAAUGAUAAGAAAGUAAAGGUCUUAAGCAUGUUGAAAAACAACUUUCGGUUAGUUGAGGCAUCCAACUACCACUGGUAGAAUGCAACCGCAACCAACAGAGACUUACUUUUUUCAGAUUCACGGGGCCGUAGCUUGUCGAAGUAUGCAUCCAGUGCAUUGAGUCCACCUGCACUAUUUUUAUCAUCACUUUCUACACGAUCCUUCACCACGUUUCUUGCACCGAAAUCUUGAGAAGUCUGACUGCCCAUAACUGGCCCGCUACUGCCGGUUUUGGAUUGCGACACAGCUGCGGAAGCCCCAUUUACUGUUCCUUGCGAAUAUGGUGUAGAGCUUGAGGGUUCUUCUCCUCUACUCGCAUGGAGUUUGUCAAAGUAGGCAUCCAGUGCACUCAAACUCUUCUUAACAGCCCAUUCAUCUGUCUCUGCAACAUCCUCUUUGACUUCGAUUGUAGAAUUUACAGUUUCUUCCUCAACCGACCUGUCAUCCAACUGUUCCGUUCGACUUGUUUGCAGACAAUUCACAGGACCUGCAGGUAGUAUUUGCCUCCUCCUGCUGUAUGCACUGCGAUACGUCAGACCUUCCGGGUCCGGCUGGGGGAACCUCAGACGAUGUGCCCCACGAGUAACCCUUCGUUUUCUCACUUCAAAACUAAUAAUUUGCUCAGUCUGAGAGCCCAAGCUGUGAUCAUCCCUAAAGACUCUACAGGAAAAGUCCUUCAAAUUGCUAUUAGAAUCAAUAAACUGAUGUGGAGGUUGAAGCUGUCGAAUGUGACUAAAGAGCACAGCCUGCAUGCCAUGCACCAGGGCCAUAGUUUCUGCACACGAAUUGCACCAAUUAUCAGAUCCUUAAGAUUUGAGGAUCAUCUUUUCCAACCUUGCAUCCUUCAUAGUCGAAAGUUUAGUGGCGAGCGGGUCCGCAUGCCCCGAAUGCCUCUAUAGCCAUACCAGAGAAAAGCGAUUCCAGCUAUCUGCCACAUCAUGACAAACCAUGCAUGUAUGGUCAAAAUUCUUCCCAUUGCUGAGUAUUCAGCAACCGUGUGGCCAGACACCACCCAACAAGACGUAGACUACCUGGGUAAUACCAUAACAUUUAGACGAAUAUCGAGUACGCAUACCGACGUCCACCACGAAAGUCCGAAUUCCGGACUAAACAAGGUAGUGAUGGAAAUGUAGAAUUUAUAGCUAAACAUUUACAUGAAAGGGAAAACGACUCUCUCACUCACAUGCAAAAAUCGGCGUAGUCUUGAAAAAUUAGAAAUUAGAGAAUCUCGAGCGAGGAAGAAAUGCAAUAGCAGAGCCCAAUUGUCAAAAAUGCAUCCUCAAAGAAAAGAGGAAAGUUUGAAACAAUACAGUCCAGCUCAAAAUCACACCACAGAUCACCAACGCGGCGCCAUACCUCUUUUGCUAUGGAAAACAAAACGACAACCCCAUAACCAGCAUAGAGGACGUCAUCUGCUGCGGCGACCUAAGCAGAACAGAGUAAAACUGGAAAAAGAAAAAAUGCGAGGUCUCACUACGGGUUUAGAACAGGACGGACCAUCAACCAGAACAGCCGAAAUCCAAUCCAGGGACCGAAUUCUGCAAAAUGUUGCAACCCACCUAAAGCAUAAUUCGCCUGAGUUACCAUCUACAGUCUAAUAUCAUAUCCUGGCUUGUGCAAUCUUGUGUCAUAGUCACCACUCUUUGAGCUUCUGGAUGAAUGCUGAAGCUGGAAAUGAGGAUUUACUAAAUUUUGCCGAUUCAUUUGAUGAAUGUGGUGAUGAAUGAGCUGGUUGGCUGCUUUUGCUUCUGGGUUCACCCAUUGUCUGACAGAAAAGUAUCACACCAGGGCGAUAUUUAGCUCGAGAGGUCAAGGCCUAUCACCGUGUCGCUGAUGAGUGAGCUUUUCCGAGGCUGUGUUUCUUGUGGCGCAUCAGUUACUCACGCAUGUCUGAUGGUGACUCCUCUAAACAAGACCCCAAUUGUGCUUGUGCUUCAGCGACGCAACCAAUAUUCCAUGUGGCUUAGAAUGGGGAAGAGGAUAACAAGUAUGGGCGUGUGGGCCCACUGUGCCCAGGUUCAUUGGUGAAGGCAUUUAUGCACUUGUCAUCAGGAUAAGGGAAGAAGUCUUUCAAAAUAAAAAACUUCCAUCGACAGCCUAUUCUCGAAAUCUUGUUGGUUUCGUGCGUAGCCAGCUGCGGGGUCCAUCCACUUUACGUAGCGGACUGUCUACUGGACGUGUGGAGAGUUUGUUGCAUUUGGUCUCCGAAGAGUCCCUGGAGUUUAAAGUGGUGGAAAUUCUUCAAGGUUGCGAUCCCGAAGAUGAUGGGUGUUGAAUCCAGCAACAGAAGCCGAAUCCCCUCCCCGCCCAUUGGUAGGCCAUGAGUCCCUCACGAAAUUGAACAUUGUUUUCAACCGACGUUACUUUCCUCUCUACUUUGCUAUAUGUAAAAAUUCAUGUAGAGUGAACUUGAAUAAUCUUCUGAAGUGAUUGAUUAGAUGACCCAAUUUUCUGGGGCAUCUGACCAUACUGCGAUGUAAAAUUUGUGGGGAGGUGAUGGUGUUGACCCCAGCGAAGAGAAAACUGGUUUUCAAAUUACUAAAAUCUACGCCACAAGUUUUAUACCACUGAAGAAAAAGCACGAAACAAAUUCGCCGCGAGAAAAAAAUGAAAAUAAAUUCAGUCACAACGAGUUCUUAACUUCUUAACUGGAAGUUUACUUUUGAUACUUUUAAGAGAAACUAUUUAGAUCGAUUCUUGAGGUAUCUAUUUUUUAUGUCUUGAAAAAUUAAGAAGCUUAAUGACAAUGAAACUCAUCGCAUCGCAUCCACAAUCGCCGACAUAAUCUCUUUGACUUGACAAAUGGGGAGAAGUGGCUGAUAUUGAAAGCCUUGCUCAGCCUUCGGAGGUCGACGAGCUUGCAUAGAUCGCCGAUUUGUCGCUCCAUCAUGAAAGCAAACCUGAUAUCCUUCAUCAAAACUCUGUACAAAAGUACAAUUAAUCACACGAUCCAAACAAGAAUCUCAUAUGUGACACACACACACAUACACAUCAUUCCAGAGGGCUGUUGUCGUCACAGUUGUUUAAGGGCGUGCUGCAGCCUCCCUUGAACACCGUCACAGAACCAUUUCAAGGGGUGACAGUUUUGAUGGUGGGCUUCAUUUAAUAGAUCUCCGCCUGCGCUCCAUCUCUACUGCUAUUUUUCUCGCCUAUCACCACGUCACCUUGAUUUGAAACAUAGCACCAAUGAGAUUAAUUGCAGAGUUAUUGAACCGACCUGGGUCUAGUUUGGAAGUAUGAAGAGCUUGUGGGCUCCAUUGAAUUAAAGAAUUCGCAUUGUUACACUCAAUCUCAUACCUGUAACGACUCCUGCCGCCUCUUACAAUCCCUGGAGAGAAAGAAGACAUCUCUAUUGGAGUCAUAAAGCACCCUUAAAUAAGCAGAAAUUCCCACUUCUAUACUCAUAUUCACAGCAAUUUGAGUACUGUCUUGAAUCAGAUAAGUAAGCUUCUUGAUGCUUUCAAGUCAUGAUUCAUCUGUCUAGAUGAUCCGUAGUCAGGCAAUUCCGAGGGUAAAUGAACCAUCUUAAGGGCCUUCAACAGUGCAAGAUCACAUUAGAUUACAUCGGGGGCCUCAAUCUCUCACGAUCCAAUCUCUUUCCUGACAGCACCCAUGAUCUUGUCCUUAGCGUUCUUAGCAGCAUUCUCUCCUGUUCUGCUUGCCAUAAUAGGCAGUUGCUAACCGAAAACUUUAAUUAAUUAGUUUAAAACAAAUGAAACAGUAGAUGACUGAAGAUGAACAUGAACUCUCAAAGCCACUGGGUUGCCCACACCACUCCUUCCAGAAAACAAAAAUAGCUGUAAAGCAGAAAAAUAACACAGAAAAUCCGACUUGGUAUAGCAGAGAAUCUGCUGCAUCCAUCCCACUACUGAACUGUCGGAUUAUGCUCCUUUCCUUCUGCAACACUAAAGUUACAAGCAUAGCACACGAAGACCCAAUUCUUUUAGCAAGCGUAAUACGCAACUAUGGAUCAGACACAUGAGCAUGGAGACCCAAAUUGUCUACUGUCCAAUAAACCAGGUUCAGCAAUUUCCACCCCAAUCAAGUGCAGGAAGAGAGAGGUCGCAGUAAAUCUGCAACAGUGAAUCUAAUUAAAAAGUUUGAAAAGGUUGAGCUCGGAAUGUAACUGCUCUGAGAGAAAAGACAGUGCCUAAAAGGCUACCUCAAGAUGAUUGUCCUGCAUCGAAUUUAACCACUAGUCCCGCACUAUCAUGUCAGACGUGUCUCCCUCUCUAUCCUUCUCGAUUCUCCUCCCUGCACUUCCUUGCAGCAAAGCGUGCUUGCUUCGCAUCACUUACACACGCACACAGGUUGAUGCAAACUAUACGCAGAGCCAUCGCACACUAGCACAACUUCACUCCCACAAACAUCAACUUAAAUGUGACAACAGUCGCCAGAAUCUCGUCACCCAGCUCAUCGUGACAGCAAAUAAUACUUGCAACAAGAGGCCUCACCACCGACACUGCCAACAGUUUGACUGUAUCACCCCAAGAACACGUGAUGCAAAACGGUAAUGGUACGACCAUGUCCUGGAAACGAAAAUGAGGAUUUCGGAAUGCUACAGAAUCAGCAGCAGCAGCAGCACUGUCCCGCUUCCCAUCACGAAAAAGCUGCUCCAUUAUGGAACCGGGAUGGCUGGGAAGAGAUGUGCAAUGUGAUGUGGGGAGCGGCAUUAUUGGGGCAUGAUGCGGCGGUCUCUCAUGCUGGGUACUGUGGGGGGCAUUCAGGUGAGGGCGAUGCCAUUGAAUCAGCUUGCACUCUCACCGUAUCCGUUGCAAGCGCAGCAACAUCAGCACCGCCUGCAUCUACUCAUUCAUUGCGUCAAAAUCACUCACUCUCUUUCUGUCUUUCGCUCUCUCUCUCUCUGGGCGUCUGUUUGUCUGUGUAAGUGUGUGCGCACAGGAUUUGAACUGUUUCUGCAGGAUGUGAACUGUUGGUCGGUAAAACAAUUGGAGUGGGACGGCAAAUUAAGCAAAAGCCGCAUCAUGCCUAAUCACCAGUUUAUCUCCUCCACUUCCACACUUCAGAAUCACUCACUGUCUGUCUGUCUGUCUGUCUCUCUCUCGCUCGAUCUCUCUCUGGCUGUCUGCGUAUUUGUAUGCUCUGUGUUUACCACUUUUCAUCAUCCAUUUCGAACUGUUGUCUUGUCAUGAGUUUUCUGCAGCCUCUUGUCAUUCAUUAGCGUUGCAAGUAUUGUUCUUCUGAGUUUUUUUUUUGACGAUGUGGUUUUAAUGUCUGUUGCUGAUGGUUGUGUGAGUGAUAUGAGUUGAUGCUCCAAAAAGAAUGAUGCAACACUAGUAUUCAAAAGCAAGAGCAUGAGUCGAAGCACAGACUAGAUGGAGAAGAGCAGUACACAAUAUCGGAAUGAUUGUGUUAAAAUAUUAAAAAAUUUAAUUUGCAAAAUCCGCAUGGUUUAUGACAUUGUUUGACAAAAUUCUAGGAGAAUUUAAUUUAACCAUUACCUGGACUUGUUUUUCUCAAGGUUCCAUAAAAACAGUCCAAACUUUUAUUUGUUUAAAUGUAGAGAAAGAUUGUGUGGUUCUUCUUGAAAAAUCUACAUUAUUUGUAAUGACAUUUACAAAAAGCAUUUGAAGAACAAGUAUCUACAGCAAAUUAUAGGUGAAAAUUUGAACAUUGAAGUUUAUAAAGAUAUAUAUAUAUAUAUAUAUAUAUAUAUACAUACAUACUUUUAUACAUAGCUUCUCAAAUCAAACUAAUUAAAUCAAAAUCAUAUUAAUUUAUAUAAAUAAAUCAAUAAAAUAAUUAUAUUUCUAUAUAAAAUAUAUAUAUAUAUAUAUAUAUAUUUUAUAAUAAAUACCAUUAUAUAUAUACAUAUAUAUAUAGCCUAAAAACUAUAUGUAGUUUAUUUUUUAGAUUUUACGUGAUUAAUUUUAAUAAUUGUGAAUGUCAAGGUAUGGUGGAGCUUAUGAUAAAGCUGUAUUAAAUCUAAGAUUUUGUAUUUCACUAUUGCAAAGGUGGACAUGCAAGUGCAGCUUUGGCCACAUUAUAGGAUUAAACCUCUAAUAUAAUAGCUGAGACUUAGUACACAAAUUUGAGAAUUUAUUUAUUUAUUUAUUUGAUUAAAAAUAGCAAUAUAUAUUACAAAAGAAUAUAAAAGAGUGAAUAAUUCUAAUUUAAAGGACUUAAGCAAAAGCCUAAUAUGCUUAGAAAUAAAUUAGUUCUUUGCAUAGAUCUCAUAGAAGUGAAUAAAAUGCUUAGUUCUUAUAGCAUUCUUAGAAUCAAGAAUAAAUCAUACUCUAUCAAAUCCUUGCCAAGUACAUCUCUCUCUAAUAGUCUUCCUAAAAGCUACAUUAUACUACUAAUUUGUAUUGCAUUACAAGAAAUAUUCAUCUAUAAAGAUAUAAUAAGCAAAGACAUUAUUAGAUUAUUUCAAAUAUAUAUUUUAUUAUUAGGUAAUAAAAUAAAGUCAAUUUAUAACUAUAGAAGCAAGAAUUAAAUAAAUACAAUUGAUUGUGUCUAAAUUGAUAAAUAUUUUGGUUAAAAAUAUUUAUAUUUAUAUUUAAAUAUUAAUUUUGAUAUGCAUAUCUAUGAUCUUAUAUGAAAAUUUUAAAAGAACAUGUAUAUAAAAAUAAUUUUGGAUUUCAAAUGACUUAAUGAUGAAAUAAAAAUAUGCUUAACUAAGUUAGACAUGUGUUGAAUGACAUAUAGAAUGCUGCUGCAUUGUGCCUUAAUUAGAUAUUAGAUAUAAAGACAAGAAUAAACCUUCUUUAUUCUUGUUAAUUUCUUUUUUUACUUCUAAUUUAGUUUCAAAAGUUUGUAGCUUUCUUGUAUUUUGAAAUAGUUAUUCUUGUCUUUUGCAACUUCAUCAUCAACUCCAAAUCAUGUUAGUUCUCAUAUAAUAGAACAUUAUUCAAACAUUAGAAAUAAAAAAUUAGCUUAUUUGAGAAGUUUGAUGGCAUAAGAUUUAAGUUUUGAGGAUUCAUCAAUCAAAUACAACUAGUGAUUUAACUUUAAUCUCAAAGUUAUCUAACUCUAAGAUCACAAGUUAGGUUUAUUAGAACGUUAUUUUUAAGUUAAGUUUUAUCAUUAUUUUUAUCUUUUUUUAUAUAAUAUGAUCUAAUAUUAAAUAAUUUAUAAGAUUUUUGAUAAAAUAUUUAUGUGUAUUUAAAAAACAUGAUAUAAUUCAUGUUACAAUCAACAAGACUUGCAUUUUAUAUCAAAAUAAUUGUUUAGUGUCACUAUAUACUUUAUAAUUUUAACAACUUGCAACUUAUAUUAAUUAGAAUGGUAUUGUCACGAAUUUAGAAUACUGACCAGAAAUCUAAACAAGAAGCUCAAGAAGAAUUGGCAAGAACUUGAUUAAUCAGAUGAGUAUAAGAACAACACUAGAGAGGUGAGCUAGAGCUCCAAGAGAUGUAUUAUCGAGACUGAGGAUCCCCUCAGUCUCAGUUCUUAUAUAUACUAUAAACUAGGAAGCUUCUCAAGUAACUUCCACAAACUAGGAAGCUUCUCAAGUAGUUUCCACAAUCUAUGAAGCUUCUUAAGUAGUUUCUACAAACUACAAAGCUUCUCUAGAACCUUCUAAAAUCUUCUAUAAUUUUAGAGUAUAUGUCCUUGAUAUGACCCCUCCCCUUUUUUAGCUUCAAGGUCUUCGAGAAGCACUUCUAUUGCGAGUUAGUACCAACGUAAGAAGUUGAAAAUUUGUCGCAUAGUAUCUAUAAUAUACUCCAAUUGUUGUUUGUGUGGUAAGUAGUUCAUUGGUCCUUGUAACCAACAAUAGUGUCCUACACCUUCAAUUUUUGACUAGGCAUGAACUUCCGUGUCUUCAUUGUAAAAAUGCUGCACAAACACUCCUUUGGGAAGAUCACCGUAGGCAGGUUCUACCUCAAACACAAUCACUAGCGACCUGUUACUAGGUAUCAUCCAUCAUCUUUGUGGUACAGGCGGUUCUUCAUCUCGAAGUCGUCUUCGUGAAAUACUUGGUUGAGAAGACAUAACUAGUAUGGUAUCUAUCUCUUGGCUAUCCAUAUCACACUGAAAAAUACAAGCACUAAACAUGGAAGAAUAGGCUCAGAUUACAAAUUUAUAGUCUCUAAUUAUAUCUUUUAGAGGUUCAUUCUCCGCCUUCUUUGUAAGGCUAAGAAUUAAGAGACUUCAAGGAGAAAGAACUUCACUGAAAAACUUUCAUCAAAAGAACUUAGGUUUUUGAGGAUAUCGUUGAUGAAACUUCUGUACCUUUUGCAAUGCAUUGAUAAGAUUUUUUGCUGGUUCCCAUGUACACUCAUUGAUAUCAUAGCCGCUUCAAUGCACUAGGUACUCCAAUUUCUCCCACUUACGCCGUGAAUCUAGUACCUUUUCUACUUUGUAUUUCUCGUGGUUCUCAAUUUCAAUAUUAAGUGGCAGACAUUGUACUCUUCUAAGAAAAGAUGACUCUCGAUAAGGCUCCAAUACAGAAACAUAAAAGACUUGGUAUACCUUCAUAGCAACUGAUAAUCCCAAAUGAUAUGCCACUGGAUUAAUUUGCUUCUGGAUGACAAAUGGUUCCAAUCUUCGAUAGUCCAACUUAUCACAUGGCCGCUUAGUUUUAAUAUUCUAUUGAAGCAGCCAUAUUUUAUCUCUAAUUUUGAAAGUAGGUGCCUAAUUCCAAAAUUUAUCUGUAGAUGUCUUGUAAGCUUCUUGGGUAGUUUGCAAUUGAAGUUUUAACGUAGUUUGAAGCUCUAAUAAUUGUUUCACAAAUCCUUCAACUGUCGGAUUGUUAUUAGUUGAUGGACUCAAUAAAUCAAACUUCGGAUGAUAUCCAUAGUUGAAAAAGAAUGGUAUUUGUUGAGUCGACGCAUGAAAGGUAUUGUUAUAUGCAAACUCUGCUAACGAUAGAUAUGAAGUCCAAUCAUCUUGUUGAUAGUUGAUGCUGCAUCGUAAAUACUGUUCCAAAGUUUGAUUCACCCAUUCCGUUUGGCCAUCAGUUUGAAGAUGAAAAGCCGAAGAAAGCUUGAUAUCCACCUUCAAUAUCUCAAAGAAGGAUUUCCAGAACUUUGAUACAAAUUGGAUUCCUCAAUCCGAUAUGAUAUCAUCUGAUAAACCAUGAUAUCGAUAUACAUUAUUAAGGAAGAGCCUGAUUGUGUCUUUGCUUGAUGAUAUCUUUUUGCAAGAGACAAAGUGUACCAUCUUUGUAAGCCGAUCUAUUACAACAAAGAUAUUAUCAAAUGAAUUUGAUGACAGCAGGUUUGUAAUGAAGUCCAUAGAAACUGAAGACCAUGGCUGACGUGGAAUAGGCAAUGGCUGAAGAAGACUAUUAAGACAAUGCCGAGGGUUCUUGAAUCUUGAACAAAUGUCACAAGAGAGGACAAAAUUCUUGACGUCCUUCCACAUAUGGAGCCACCAAAAAUCUUGAGAAAUAAAUUUUAAGGUCUUAUUGAAUCCAAAAUAUCCCACAGUUGGAAAGUCGUGUCGAGAUUAGAAAACUCGGAGUCGUGUUAGUUCUUUUAGAAUAUACAACCAUUUUUUAAAGUAUAAAAGAUCUCUUUUUACCUUGAACUUGUCAUUAUUGAUACGUUGCAUGAUAUUAAGGGCUAUAGAAUCUCCAAUAGUUGCAGUACGUACCUAGUUGAGGAAGUCAACAUUAAUUGACACUAUAGCAAAGCAAACCCUGAAUUGUUUUGACUUCAAUAAUGUUAUACAUUGUUGAUCAAACGUUGCUUCUCCAGCCUUUGGCGCUAGAUACAAUCUCCUUGAUAAUGCAUCGGAUAGUCGUUGUUGCUUCCUACGUUAAUAAAUAAUAAUAAAGUCAAACCUGGAUAGUAGAAUAAUCCAUCAAGCUCGAUGACGAUUCAGAACUUGAGCUGACAUGAAGUACUCUAAAUUCUUGUGAUUCAUGUAUACUUUCAUCGGAUGUGCAACUCCUUCGAGAAAGUGAUGCCAUUCUUAGAAAGAAUCUACUAUCGCAAGAAGUUCUUUAUCGUGGAUCUCAUAGUUAAUCUCGACAACAAAAAACUUUCAAGAGUAGAACACAAUCGGAUGAAGCUUUUCGUCUAUGCCUAUCUGUAAAAGUAUAGCUUCCAUAGCAAAAUCUGAAGCAUCAGUCUCUAAAUAGAAGGCCUUUGUAAAGUCCGGAUGUACCAAGAUUGGAGCCAUAGUAAAUGCUAUCUUAAGAUCUUGACAUGCUUUUUCCGCUAGAGAUUCCUAUUUGAACUUGUCUUUACAUGUCAACCGAGUGAGCAAAGCAGUAACUUGAGAAUAAUUCUUCAUAAAGAUCCAAUAGAAGUUAGCAAAGCCAAGAAAGCAUUGUACAUCUCUAAUUGUCUUUGGAACUUUCCAUGAUACAAUUGCUUCCACCUUCUUAGGAUCGAUCUUCAAACCUUCCAUAGUUGCAAUGAAUCUCAAAAAUUCCAUCUCAGUUUGAUUAAACAAGCACUUCUCCAAUUUGGCGUGAAGUUUUUCAAGGACCAGACGAAUGUGUUUCUCAUGCUCUUCUAUAUUCUUGGAAAAUAUCAGAAUAUGAUCUAGAUAGAUGACAAUAAAAUCGUCAAGUUACUCCCAAAAGAUGUCAUUCAUCAUGUGUUGAAAGACCAUUGGAGUAUUGAUAAGAUCGAAAGGCAUGACAUUAUAUUCAAAAUGGCCAUACCUUGUACGGAAAGUUGUCUUCCAUUUGUCUCCUUCCUUGAUUCGUACGAGGUUGUAAGCUCCCUUUAGAUCAAUCUUUGUAAAGAUCCUUGCACAGGUAAGUUGCUCUAGAAGACCUGAUAUCAAGGAUAAUGGAUAACGAUUCUUCUUUAUCACCUUAUUGAGACCUCGAUAAUCCACGCACAUCUGCAGUAAGCCAUCUUUCUUCUUCACAAAUAAGAUUGGUGCCCUUGCUAGCAACUUCGAAUGACAAAUGAAGUUCUUGGCUAGAUUCUCGUCAAUGUAUUUUUUCAACUCCACUAACUCCGUCUGCAACAAAUUGUAGAUUGGGCCAAAAGGUGGUUAUGCUCCUUCCUGUAAGUCUAUGGCACAAUCGUAUAGUCGAUGCUUCGAUAGCAUGUUUGCAUUCUUUUUUUGAAACAUGUCUUCAAAAUCCUUAUAUUGCUCUAGUAUACUUGCUGUCAAAAUCUUCUCUCUGCUAGUUGGAGUCGCAUAAAUGACAAAUAGUAUGCCUUCCUUGGACAAUGUUACAAAUGCUCUUGCUCCAAUAAAUAAGGAUUUUUUUGAUUCGGGAUCUUCUAACAAACUUACUCUCGGAAUGUUCUAUAGGAAAUAUCAUCUUUCAUAACUUCCAAUCUUCAGAUGGGUUAUGCAUUUGUAACCAAGAAAGACCAAGAAUAACAGGAUUUGAUGGGAUUCUAAUAAUAUUGAAAAUAAUAUAACUACUAUGGUCUUUAAACGUCACCUCUAUAGGUUCUGAUUCAUGGGUGACACUACUAGAUAAUAAAGAUUGUCCAUCUAUUACUUCUACAUGAACGGGUUUAGAUUUUUGUACUAGAUGAAUUUCUUGACGCUUAGUAAAUUCUUCGUCUAAAAAAUAAGCAAAUGCUCUUGAAUCUAAUAACACUAAGGUUUUUAAUUUCUAAAGGCUUAAAGAUAGAAGAAUGGUAAAGCAAUGGGCUAGCUGAGCAAAAAGAGAGGAACGUGAUUGUUCUUGUGGUAUUGAAUUAAUCAGCCGCAUGGUCCCUAUUAUGGCUGGGCAUCUUUAUUUUUCUGAACAAAUGCACCUUUGGUCCUCAUAAUGCGUCGAUUUUGCUUUUGGGGACAGUUUCCAGCUCUGUGGCCUUCUUCAUCACAAUACAGGCAUAAUCUUUCUUUCAUAUGUCGCUGUCGUGUUGUAACAUGAUUACAUGAUGAAAAUAUAAAUGAAAAAGAUUUUAUUAAUAUUUAGUCAUCUUGGAUGUUAGAAACAGUGGCCAAUUCCAGUGCCAAUAUUCAGGGGCCAAUUAAUGUCACGUCAUUGCAAACUAUACUACCGUACAUGAUAUUAGUAAUAUGCUCCACCGGCGUCAUCGAACCAAGUACCCUCCGUACGAACGGGACAACCAGGAUCAUUUUCUAAUCCUACAUGGAACAAACAUAGUAGGUAUAAACCGGUGGAGACAUCCAAUAUGCCUAAUAGAAGUACAAGAAGACCAAUUUGUUGUUUCCGUUGUAAAUAGAUUAGUCAUUAUGCUAGUGAAUGUUCCAAUCCCAGAGCUAGUGACAAUUACGCACCAAUGUGUGGAAAUUGUAAGCAGUCAAGGCAUACUUAUUAGCAAUAUAAUGCUCCAUUCAAUUUCAAUAAUCGGGAUCAGCAGAUCCAAAGCCAAGAAAAAAAUUGAGGAGAUAAAUCGAGGACCUUAAGAUUCUCUAGUAAAUUAGGUGGAAUGUGUCCAAGCCAUUCUUACUAGGAGUUGGCAAAAGGAAAAAGGACCAAUUUAACAUUUGGAUGAGCUUGAUGCAAAGGGCCAAUUUGACCCAAUUACGGGGACAUCCAAUCCAGGUCUUGUUAUGAGCUUCUUAUCCAAUAUGAGACCUGAUUCAGUUGGGCAAUCCAAUGAAGUCCCGAUUAUGGAGGCUUCGGUUCCAUUUCAAGCUAUUUUAUUCUCUAUGCCGUUUUGGAGAAAUGUCCUUUCGGUGGAAAGAUCCUCUUACAGGCGGGAAUUCCAUGGAAGUGCGGUCUGUUGUUCCAAUUUUGAGUCUAGGGCAGAAGAAUAGGAAAUUUGGGGAUUAAAGAGCUAGCUUCAAGCUCCUUCCAAAGGUGUAAGAUGGAGUUUUAUAGGAUUUGGGAGGACUUUACAAUCUUUGUUCAAAGUCAGUGUUUGUAUUGGUGAUUUGGAUUUUUUGCAAUAAAGUUAAGGCUAGUACUCUUGACUGUUUUGAAAAAUUGAAGAAACACUUGUAGUUGAAAUUUUAGAGGUGUAUAGAUGAUUGAGUAUGCCAAGCGCAAGCAAAAACUUGUAUUAAUCUAAUGGUACGGAUAGAUGAUAUUUGAUCGUAAGUGUAAAGAGGUAUCAGAAGUUAGCAGAUUGAGGUUGUUUAGGAUUUCUACGAUAUCUGGAGAUCUACCAGCUGGAAUAAGGUGAAUUUUAGCGUGAUAAGUCGGAGACUUAAAGGUAGAGCUGCACACAAAAUUUGAAUGAGAAUUAAUAGUUGCAGAAGGAGAAAUUGUAAUUUAAAGUUCAUCAUCAACUUUCUAGGAAAUGGUCAAGGGACAUCAGUGUGGAUUUAUGGCAUUUUCUUGCAAUCUGUGAGUUGGAUUGGAUUGAAACUUCUUGAGCAUUUAGAAGACUUACAAAGACACUAGUAGUAGAAGUUUUAUAACAAUCAGAUGGUUAGAUUUAGAAUUACAGCUUGUCAAAGCUUGCUGUCUAUGGUUAGGGUUUAAAAAUUUAAAAUUUAAAUAUUAAAAAUUAAAAAAAAAGAAAAAAAGAAAAAGAAUAAUAUUAAUAAAAAAUAAAUUAAAAUAAAACUAACAAAUAACAAAACAAUUUAUGCUUAUAAUAUCUUGAAGUCAUAAAAAAUAGUGUUUCUAAGUACUUUGUAUUGGGAUUAAGCUUUUAUAUUGAAAUCAAAAAUAAUUUGUAUAUAGAUGGUUGAAACCCACUAGACUACUUGGAUACUUACAAAAUAUUAUUUUAUCUUCCUCAGCCAGAUACUCGAUGCAUUCUCAAGUAAGAUAGCAUGUAAUACGACAUCACUUUUUUUCUUCUAGAAUUAGGGAUUUGACACGUACCGUGUCAAUUUGCAUGUCUUCUACCUCUGAAUGUGAAUUUAGGUUGCUUGCUGACAUAGUUGGAGCAUGGUGAGCCAUAUGUUGUCUUGAGUGUUGGUCUUGGUGACGUUGGAAUAAGCGAUUAUUAUACUUCACAGCUUGGUUAAUGGCUUCAUUAAGCGUUCACAAAUUGAGAAGAGAUAAUAACAAAUCUUUCACGUCGUCUCUCAUGUCCUAAUAAAAUUGACUCAUCAAUGCUUCCUCGUCCCAGUUGAUGUCACAUGCUAAUUGUUUGAAAUCUGAUGUGUAAAUUGAUGAGGAGCGUGUUCCUUAUCGUAGUGACCAGAUCUUUGUUGUAGUCCAUUGCGCCUUGUCAUGUUUGCCAAAUGCUUCCGCAAAUGUCUCCAAAAAAGUUUCAAAGUUGUUCAAAAUUGAUGAUCCUUUUUCAAACAAAAGAGCAAAGCAUAAUAGAACUUACCGUGUGAGCAAUGUUCCAACUAGUCCAAUACGUGACUCCUCUAUCAGAUAGCGUUUGGGAUGUAAAGCUGUUAUCAAUCUAAUUUGAUUGAUAAAACCUCAAAAUUUAGAAUGCGUACUAUCAAACUUGACUGGAAGGUUAAUUCAGAGCUCUUUUCUUUGUAAGAUCAAUGGUCUUUAUUGAAGUAGAGACAAAGUUGCUUUUCUUAGUAUUGAAUGUUGAGGCUGAUGAAUCCUUGAUUGUGCCAUCCCGGAUGCUCCAUCAUCAUGAAGUCUUACAAUGAUUCUUUCAAUCUCUGUAGUUCUCUAUAAUAAUGUAGCAAGAGCAUUCAUAAUAGUAUCUAACUUAGACUCCGAACUUUCAGUCAUACUAAUAUCUUGACCUCCGGCCAUUCUAAGAGAAAAGAAAUGACUCUACAAGAAGGCAAUAUUGGUUUAGAGGAGGGUACUCCACAACCUCUAAAAUGCCUUAAAACCUUCAAGAAGAGGGGUAAUCCACUCUCUCUAAGAAAGAUAAGACUCCAAUAUUAUAAUAAAAGAAAUAUCAGUUUAGAGGAGCAUAAUCCGCAACCUCUAAAAUACAAGCACCUUCAAGCAAAGAGAUAAUCUACAUUAUAAUAAGAAGGAACUAGCUCUGAUAUGAAAGAUGAAUGUAGUCUCGAAAAACUGUCACGAAUUUAGAAUGCUGACUAGAAAUCUACAUAAGAAGCUCAAGAAGAAUUGGCAAGAAUUAGAUUAAUCAGAUGAGUACAAGAACAACACUAGAGAGGUGAGCUAAAGCUCCAAGAGAUGUAUUGUCGAGACUGAGGAUCCCCUCAGUCUCGACUCCUAUAUAUAUUACAAGCUAGGAAGCUUCUCAAGUAGCUUCUACAAACUAAGAAGCUUCUCAAGCAGCUUGUAUGAGUUAAGAAGCUUUUCAAGCAGCUUCCACAAUCUAUGAAGCUUCUUAAGCAACUUCCACAAACUACAAAGCUUCUCUAGAACCUUCUAGAAUCUUCUACAACUUCCUAAUAUAUGUACUUGACAUGUAUUAUAUUCAUUAGCUAGUUUUUUAAUAGAUUACAAUAUAAAGUAAACAAAUAAAUAUUAGAUUUAUCUAAUUCUUAAAUAUUAACUCAAGUAAUUAAUUUUGAUGUAAAGUGUGAUAAUUAGUUUUUUAAAUUUUGAUCUAAAAAUCUUAAAAGUGUCUCUUUAUAUCUCUAUAAUUUAAUAACAAAAUUAAUAUCUUCUCAAUAUAUAUAUUUAGAAGUAUGGGACUUACAAAUUAAUAUAGUAUAUUUUAAACAAGUCAAUGAGUAAGAAAAAUCCAAUGUCAUAAAAAAAGAUUAUUUUUAUAUUGUUGAGAAUCUAAGCACACUACUGUCAAGGACAAGAACUCGAUGAAAAAACAAUUCAGACAAGUCAGCCUUCACUCAAAAAGACGUAACAAAAUAUAUAUAAAAAAGUAUAUAUAUUGAAAGAAAAACUGGAAUGGCUAUUGCCAAAAGACAAGAAAACUAGAGACCCUUGAAACUAGACUAGAAGCAAGAAAGGAGUUGACAAGAGUGAAGAAGCCUUCACUCUUGUCUCUAUAUAUACUAUCUAAUUAGGGGCUACGUGGCGACAUUCUAUAGGACCUUCAAUAUGUGUUGACUUUGUAGCGUACAUGCCUUGACUUACAAGGCAAGUUUUUCUACGUGUGGGCCACAUAGUUAGCUUGAUCUUCAAGCUAACAACAUGUGUGGCACAUGGCCAACUUGUUGACCACGUUUCUAAUCCAAAAAGUCAAUUAAAGACACCUAUGAAGUCAAAGCAAUGUCUAGGAAAUUUCUAAAAAGCUUCUAUAUUAAAUAUUAUAGAAUUAACUUACUUUUACCUACUUUUACUUACUUCUACCUAUUUCUAUAUUUAAUUAUUAGCUUACAUGAUUAUGGCCGUGACAUUACCCCCCCUUCUAGGGACGAGUUCCAUAAGGAGCGGUCAUCAUAUGUUGAGGAAAUCUAUGAUGCGACGAAUUAUAUUCGCCACAUACUCUGAUCUCUAUUCUCUUCGAAGAUGAUUGAUAGGGCCUUUCAACCAUCGGUAGUGUCCCAUGCCAGGGCGGGAAGACCACCUAGUUAUUUGAUCAUUGUUGAGGCCUUCGUAACUUCCUUCGAAUAGAAUAUUCGGAACACCAUCAAGAAUUGUUCCUACCUCUAGCAAAAUCACCAAACAUCAGGAGUCCUUUUCCAAGUCGUAAUACCAAACGCGUUGUAUCUUACCAUCUAUUCGAGGAAGAACAUGUCGUUCUUCAAGAUCUUCAUCUUGAUUGCGUCGUCUUGAAGGUUGUGACAAUCGUAAUGUCUUGUCCGGCAAGUCAGCAAAUGAAGGCUCUUAAGUUAAAUCUGUUGGUUGUUGGUUCUCCAUCUCCUGAGCGCCACUACUACAACGAAGCUACGAACAAGAAUUGAAAGUAGAAUGUUAUCUUGCCUAGAUGUUGUUUCUUUUAUAAAGAAGGUUUUCAUCUUGAUUUUGAUGGAUGUCGUCGACGAAAAGCCUCCACCGCCUUUGCUGUAUUUGCAAGAUUCUUCAUUUGCUUCCAUGUGCAUUCACUAAUAUCAUAUCCGUGCAAAUGGACAAGAUAUUCUAUUUUAUUUCGACGCCGCCUUGAAUCUAAGACUUCUUCUACUUCAAAUUCUUCAUUAUUGUCCACUUCUAUAGGAGGAGGUGGAGCUUGUCGUCUUCUUGGUAUGUCCACUAUCUUAUAUGGUUCAAGAAGAGACACGUGGAAUACUAGAUGGAUUUUCAUUGUCUUCGGUAGAUGUAAACGAUAUGCAACUGGAUUGAUUUGUGUAGAAAUAGAAAAUGGUCCCAGCCUUCCAUAGUCCAACUUAUCGCAAGGACGAGUGGUCUUGAUAUUAUGACGAAGUAGCCAUACCUUAUCACCCACGUUGAGUUGUGGUUGCUCCUUACGAUAUACAUCUGCGUUUAUCUUUUGUCGUUCUUGAGCUUCUUUCAAUUGCGCCUUCAUUAUUGCAUGUAACUCUGACAACCGAUUUGCCAUAUCUUCUGCUGCAGGAUUAUCAACUUUUGAAAAAUCAAAAGCAUCAAGUCGUGGAUGAUAGCCAUAAUUGGCAAAGAAAGGUGUUUGUUGCGUGGAGGAAUGUACCGUAUUAUUAUAAGCAAACUCUGCCAAUGGCAGAAGGGUUGUCCAAUCAUCUUGUUGGUAGUUGAUAGUACACCUUAAAUACUGCUCCAAGACUUGGUUUACGCGCUCUGUUUGUCUAUGAGUUUGAGGAUGGAAAGCCGAAGAUAGUUUUAUGUCUACUUUUAAAAUCUUGAAAAGGGUCCUCUAGAAUCUCGACACAAAUUGAGUUCCCCUAUCUGAUAUGAUAUCUUUAGGUAAUCCAUGAUAGCGAUAGAUAUUAUCAAUGAAAAUCUUAACUGUUUCUUCACCUGUGAUAGAUUUUGUACAUGGCACAAAAUGUGCCAUCUUGGUGAAACGAUCUACUAUCACAAAUAUAGAAUCAUAAGAUCUUGAGCUUGGAAGAUCUGUGAUGAAAUCUAUAGAAACAGAAGACCAUGGUUGUUUUGGUAUAGGUAAUGGCUGAAGAAGUCCGUAAGGUCGAUGAUGAGGAGUUUUUGAUCUUGAACAAAUAUUACAUGAUUGUACAAAGUCUUUGACUGACUUCCACAGUUGUCGCCACCAAAAAUCUCUUGAUAUGAGUUCCAAAGUCUUAUUAUAUCCAAAGUGUCCUGCUGCUGGAAAAUCAUGACGUGCUUGAAGAACACGUAAACGUGCUUCUCCUUCUAGAACAUAUAGGCGUCCUUCAAAAUAUAAUAGAUUAUUCUUGAACUCGAACUUAGAAGAAUCAUGAGAUUUGGAAGAAUUAUUCUUAAUAUCAUGAACAAGAGGGUCUAAAGACAUACUGGACUGGAUUUGCUUGAGAAAAGUUGAAUCAACAGUCAAUGUUGAUUUCAUUGCUCGGAGAUGAAAUUGCUCCAGUUUCAAGAGGACUGUUCUUUGUUGCUCAAAAGCUGCAUCUCCUUCUUUUGGUGCAAAAUAAGAACGUCUACACAAUGCAUCGGACAAACCUUGUUGUUUUCCUGGCCGAUAAGUGAUAAUGAACUCGAAUCUUGACGAAGACAUACUCCAACGAGCUUGACGACGAUUCAACACGCGUGUUGACAUGAAAUACUCGAGGUUCUUGUGAUCUGUAUACACAGUGAUUGGACUAGAAGCGCCUUCUAGAUAAUGACGCCAUUCUUGAAAGGAAUCUACGAUUGCAAGCAGUUCUUUAUUGUGGAUCUCAUAAUUGAUCUCGGCUAUUGAGAAUUUUCUUGAAUGAAAAGCUAUCAGAUGAAGUUUGUCAUCUGUUCCCAUUUGUGACAAAACUGCACCCAAGGCAAAAUCCGAUGUAUCUGUUUCCAUAAAAAAUGCCUUGGAAAAGUCAACAUGAUAUAAGACUGGUGCAGAUACAAACGAUGUCUUCAAGGCUUCAAAUGCUGCUUCCGCUUCUUGAUUCCAUUGGAAUUUGUCUUUAUUGGUCAAGCGUAUAAGUGGAGCUGCAACUCAUGAAAAGUCUUUGAUGAAGAUCCGAUAGUAAUUGGCAAAUCCCAGAAAACAUUGGACAUCUCUUACUGUCCUUGGAAUCUUCCAAUCUAUGAUUGUUUGGACUUUCUUAGAAUCCAUCAUGAGAUCAUCAUUUGAAAUGAUGUAUCCUAAAAAGUCAACUUGAGUAGUGUGAAAUACACACUUUUCUAUCUUGGCGUACAAUCCUGCAUCUCUAAGUUUUUGUAAUACUUGACGAACAUGUAUUUCAUGCUCUUCGACGUUGUUAGAAUAGAUGAGGAUAUUGUCUAGGUAGUAGACGACAAAAUUGUCUAAGAAUUCACGAAAUACAUCAUUCAUGAGAUGUUGAAAAGCAACUGGUGCAUUCGUGAGUCCAAAAGGCAUGACAUUAUAUUCAAAAUGUUCGUACCUGGUUUGAAACGCAGUCUUCCAUUCAUCUCCUUCCUUGAUUCGUACUAGAUUAUAUGCUCCUCUUAGAUCUAUUUUUAUAUAAAUCUUAGCUUGAUUCAACUAGUCAAGGAGUCCUGAUAUCAAAGGUAAUGGAUACCUGUUCUUGAUUGUGAUCUUGUUGAGUCUUCGAUAGUCAACACACAUUCGCAAAGAUCCAUCUUUUUUCUUUACGAAUAGAAUUGGAGCUCCUGCUGGAGAUUUUGAAUGGCAUAUGAAAUUCUUUGCUAAAUUCUAGUCAAUAUAUGUCUUGAGUUCAGCCAACUCAUCUUGCGAUAAACUGUAAAUUGGUCCAAAUGGUGGCUGAGUUCCUUCCUUGAGGUCGAUUGAAUAAUCAUAUGGACGAUGCUCAGGAAGAAUAUCUGCAUUUUUUUUCUCAAAAACGUCUUGAUAAUCCUGAUAUUGACUUGGAAUGCCACUUGAAGUCUUUACGCUUUAAGAAAUAGGUGCAGCAUAAAUAGCAAAAGUUGAUCCUUCUUUUGCUGUAUAUAUAAAUGCUUUUGCACCUAUAAGUACGGGUUUUAUUAUACUAGAUUUAUAACUUUUUACUUGGUUGGUAGAACUAUUAAUAAUGCUUUGGAAAAAAUCAAGUUUACGAGAAUUCUAAUCUAUUCGAGGGUUAUAUUUUUCUAGCAAGGACAAACCUAAAAUAACUGGAUUGGACGGGGAUUUAAUUAUGUUAAAAGCUAUGUAGCUAACAUGACCGUUUAUUGUUACUUUUAUAGGGCGAGUUUCAUGAGUGACAUCUCUAGAAGACAAAGGAUGGCCAUCAAUGACUUCUACAUGUAAGGGUUUAGUUUUCUAUACAAAAGGUAUUUUAUGACUUUUAACAAAUUAUUCAUCUAAAAAACAUGCUGAGGCUCCCGAAUCUAAUAAAGCAAAGGCUUUGUAAUUCUUAGGUCCUAAAUAUAAUUCUAUUAUAAAACAAGAAGAGGGUUUUGAGGAGAGGAUAGGACCUUCAUUAGGAAUUGUACAAGGUUCCAGCUGCACGGUCCCUAUUGUAGCUGGACGAAUCUGUUUUCUGACAUGUUGUCUUCUUUGACCGCCGUACCCCUCAUUUUAUAGUUACGUUGUUUCUUUGGACAAUCUUGAGCGGUGUACUUAGGUUCUCCGCAGUAUAAACAUAAUCCUUCUUGACGACCACGAAUCUUUUCUUGCUCAAUUAGGGGUUUAAAACGUACCGCGUCAAUUUACAUGUCUUCUACUUCCAAAUGUACGUUUGGCGAAGAUGCUGAUGUUGCCAUUGAGUAAUAACGUUGAGGUUCCCGUGUAUGACUCUCGAAUCGAAAUUCAAAAAGUUGAUUGUCACAUUUUACCACAAAAUUGAUUGCUUGACUCAAAGUUUGAGGAUCAGGUAAGUUGAGCAUCAAUUUCUUUACUUUGUAUUGCAAUCCAUAAAGAAAUUGACUGAUGAAUGCAGCAUCAUCCUACUUGAUGUCAAUUACAAGUUGUCGAAAUUGUGAAGCAUACAUUGUUACUGAGCAGUUUUCUUGUCGCAGAAUUCGGAUCUUAUUUGUUGCAAUAUGAGUUGCAUCGUGUUCACCAUACAUAGAUCAAAACUCUGCCAAAAAAGCUUCCAAAUUAUCCAAUAUUGGAUUUCGUUAUUCAAGAAAAGACGAAAACCACGAUAAUGCAGAACCAGAAAGUAGAGUGCCAAUAAACCUGACUUGUGAUCCUGGAGUUGGAUAGCUUUGGGGUUGAAGUUCAAUUGCCAAUUUUACUUGAUUGAUGAACCCUCGAAACUUUGAUCUUGUACCAUCAAAUUUCUCGGGUAAAGCAAUUCUUGGUUCUCUAGUGCUUACAGGGUGUUGUACAAUUGGAGAAGGAAUGUGAUUUGGUGCAGAUGUUGAAGCAGCUCCGAUCAUUUCUAUAUCUCCACUUUCUGCUAUUCUUGUUCUUUCUUGUGUUGGUGAAUUGAGUUGAUGCAUCGCAAGCAUUAACUCCCUCAAUUAUUCUUGCAUUUGUGCCAUUGCACUCUUCAUUUCAACAAGCUCUGCCAUAAUGAUACUAAGAAGAAAAAUUUGUCUGAUAUUGCUCAAGACAAAAGAAAAAGAAAAGACUUGAUAACAAAGAAGAUACUAAGAACAAUAUCAGUUUAGAAGUGGGUAAUCCGUAAACUUCUAAUAUGCUUAUGUCUUGUCAAGAGAAAGGGGUAAUCCACUCUUACUCAAGAAAAACAAAGCUCUCAUAUUGUAAGUGCACUCUUGUCAAUCUGUCAAGGACAAGAACUCGAUGAAAAAAAUAAUUCAAACAAGUGAGCAUUCACUCAAAGAGAGGUAACAAAAUAUAUAUAAACAAGUAUAUAUAUUGAAAGAGAAACUGGAAUGGCUAUUUCCAAAAGACAAGAAAACUAAAGACCCUUGAAACUAGACUAGAAGCAAGAAAGGAGUUGACAAGAGUGAAGAAGCCUUCACUCUUAUCUCUAUAUAUACUCUCUAACUAGGGGCUACGUGGCAACGUUCUAUAGGACCUCCAAUAUGUGUUGACUUUGUAGGGCACAUGCCUUGACUUACAAGGCAAGUUUUUCUACGUGUGGACCACAUAGUUAGCUUGAUCUUCAAGCUAACAAUAUGUGUGGCACAUGGCCAACUUGUUGACCACGUUUCUAAUCCAAAAAGUCAAUUAAAGAUACCUAUGAAGUCAAAACAGUGUCUAGGAAAUUUCUAGGAAGCUUCUAUAUUAAAUAUUAUAGAAUUAACUUACUUUUACCUACUUUUACUUACUUCUACAUAUUUCUAUAUGUAAUUAUUAGCUUAUAUGAUUAUGGCCGUGACAACUACUUGAAAUUAUUCAAAGAAACAACACAAUUAUAAAAUUAUAAGCAUAAUUAUUAAAGAAGACUAAAUAUUAAAAAAUAAGUUUGUCAAAUUACAAUAUAGACUAUGUUAUUAAAAUCUUAUGCAAUACCUGGUGAAGAUUGUAUUCUCUCCUUAAAACCAUCACUAAAAUAAGAUUGGACUAUCUCAAAAAUCUAAGAUCCUUCUAAUCUACAACAACAUAAUUCUAUCACAAUGUAGGACAAAGCAGACUACAAAAAAAAAAAAAAAAAAAAAAAAACAAAAAACAAAAAACAAAAUUGAACAAGAAGAUGCAAAACCAAACUUUACUAAGAAAAAGGGUCCAAAGCCAUACUUCACAAGAUGUCCAAAUGGCCCUAGCCAAUCCUAUUUAUACUUUGUCUAACUAUCUUAGAGCUUUUUAAAAUAUUUAAAAUGAUAGAUUCCAACUAAAUAAUUGUCCUAAGUUCUUUUUAGAAUAUUCUAUGAUAGGCUUGACCUAGAUAACCAUUCUAAGUUCUUUCUAAAAUAUUCCAUGGUAGAUCCUAUAUAGUUCACUAAUCUACUUCUAAUUCUAAAAACUUUUAUAAACUUCUAAAUAUGGCUCAAAUUAUAUAUUCUUAUGUAUCAAUAAUACAAAUAUCUUAUCUAUAUGCCAUUGUUGGGAUAGAGAGAGUUUACCUCAAGAAAAGAUUUGACUCUUGGUUGCCACUAAUUUCUCAAUCAAGUCUUGAGAUAAGAAAGAUCAAGUUUUUAUAUAUACAUAUAAUACUUUUAGGUGCUAAUACACCAAAUAUAUAAGUCUUAAGUUCCCAAAAAUAUCCAAAAUAUGAUAAAACGUCUAAAUCCUUAAAUAUCCUUAUAGAGUAUUAUUCCCAAACUUCAAAAACUCAUAUCUUCUAAUUGGACCAUUCAAACAUAGUCAGAUUUUACAUGAAUUACUGAUGUACUUUUAAAAACUAUCACAAUAAAUUUCAACUACAAAUUCAUUGCGGAUCUUAAGAUAUUAUCAAAAUCCUAAUAGUAGCUUCAAACCUUAGUUUUUAUACACCUCUGUGAAAUUUUCUUCAUAUCUCACAAAUUAAAUGCUCAAAUGCCACAAAAUUUAUAUGUAUAGCUUUUUAAUACAAUAAUCUACCUUUUGUAAAAGGUUUGAGAUAAAUUUUUUUCCAAAAAUGAAGAUAUGGCUCCAACAAUUACCAUAAACAAAAUCACUUACUUACUACCUUUGAUAUGGAUGCGUUGACUUCAAACAUCUAUGACUUCUUCAUCCAAACUUCAAAUUUAUUAAAUAAUAUAUAAAAAGUAUGUUUGAAGAAGCAUUUUCUUCAAAUCUUGUUGCUGAUCCUUUGUUGCUUUUUGUAAACGUAUGUUAUGCCUCAAAGAGUGACAGUAGGUAUGAAAUUGAUAUCUUAACUUUGAGUUCCAAUAACUCCUUCAUAAAAACUCCAAAUCGUACAAAAUUUUCACCUUAUCUAUAUCCAAAAAUCCAAAUUUGAUGAUCCUAGCUUCCAAAGCUCAAAUGACCUCAAAAAAAACCUUAAUUCCUAAUAAGGCCUUGAGCAGCCUCCUUGAAGCCCAUUGAGCAUGGCCUUUGAUCAAUAGGAAUGAAGAUUUCUAUUCCUUGCCUUCAUUCAACCAUGCCUUGCUUUUAUCCCUCCCAAUAAGCCUCCUACUAGUUAAGAUUUUCUUCUUUAGGCUCUAAUCUCUUCUCAAGGCUUCAUACUAAAUAUUUAGGUCCUAUAAUUUUUUUAAAUGCUAUAAUUAAAAAAGAUAAAACUCAAAAUAAAGUUUCUUAAAUCUAUUAUCUUUAAAUUAAUCUAUUAGCCAUUCUAACAUAUAUUUAGAUUUAUUAAUAUAUAAUAUAUUUUAAUUAAUUUUUACAUAUUAUAAGCUUUUACAAUAUGACACUGUUAUAGUUAAUGUCCCUCCAUUAAUGUAGAACGUCUUCGUUUUACUCUUGAUUGUAUUUCCAAAUUAUUUUUUGGCAAUAGAUGAGGUUCUAUGUAAGUUUCCACGUUGUAUUGUCAAUGGGAUAACCUUUCUAGAAGACUUUGUAUUGAAAUUAUAGACAUCCAUUGCCACAGUGAAGAUAGCAAUGCACUAAAAUACUGUCUACUUUAUAUUCUUAUUGGUCAUCUAUUACAACUAGUGGUAGUAGCGAUUGAUGUUGGUCUAAAAAGCGCCUUGGCUUUGUAUGAAAUUCCUUGAAUUGCAUAACAUUAAAAGCCAGAUGGACUCAAAUAUAUGGUACAAGCUUAAAGCGGUACAUAAUAUCAAAAAUCAUUAUAGAAACAUGAAAAGGUCCAUGCUACCAAGAUGUCAAUUUAUGGAUUUGGGUUGAUGUAAUAAGUGGCAAGUUGGUAUUAAAGAAUAACACUUGACUACCAUCUCAAAAGAUCUUGUAUUGUCGGUGGUUAUUUGCAUAUUGCUUUUGCCAAUUUUAUACAAUAAAUUAUUAUAAGUUAUUGUAUAAAGUCCUCCAUUGUGGGAUUGUUGGUGUCAAUGAAACAAUUAAGAAUUUUUGGUAUAUUCAGAUAUUGAUCAGUAUUAAGAAAGAAUGGUGAAUGAUUAGUACUUGCUUAAAUAAUAUCAUUAUAAGAAAAUUUUAAAGAUAUCAAAUAUUCAUUCUAAUCAUUAUGAUGAACUAUUACAAAUGCUCAUAGCAUAUCUUCUAAGAUCCUAUUUGUAUGUUGUAUUUGUCCAUCUGUUUGGAGAUGGAAGAUCGUGGACAUGACAAAUUAUGUACUUAAUUGCUUAAGUAAGAUCUAUCAAAAUUUUUGUAUGAAGCAUGGAUCUCAAUCUAAAACAAUGAUACAAAAUAAUCGAUAGUAACAAAAGAUAAUAUCAAAGAAGAUCCAUGCAAGUGUUGGAGCAUCAAUAUUCAAGUGCGCUACAAUCAAGUGAAGUUGCUUUGAGAGUCGAUCCACAAAGAUAGCAAUCGCAAUAUAAUAGUGAGGUAUCUUCAGCAAAUACGUAAUGAGAUCUAUAGUCACUUGCUUCCAACAUGUCGUAGACAAUAGAAUUGGAUGCAAUAGUCUAAGAGAUGUUGAAUCAUGUCUUUGAGAUUUGUUCUAGAGUCUUUUUUUGCCCUAGAUGUCUAGAUAUUGGGAUAUCAUGUCGUUUUUCAAAUAUGCGAGUUUAAAAUAUAGUAUUAUUAGGUAUAUAAAUUUACUUCUUAAAAUAAAAUAAGCCAUUAUUAAGACUAUAAUCUUGAUAUUAUACAUUACCUAUGUUCAACCAAUUGUUAACUAUUUUAAAAUAAGCAUCUCAAUGUAUAGCUUCUUUCUAUUUUUUCUCUUUGAUUAUAUUUGAAAUGACACUACUAAUGGUAGCAACUUCUAUCUUGUCCCUUGAUUCAACCUUUAAGUUAGGUCUUUGUAAUAAAUUAUCUAGCACAUUAUAUUAUUGCCCUUGCUUGUACUCAAGUUGAAUGUCAAAAAGUUAUAAUUAUUUUUUCCAACAAUGAUAUUAUGAUUUCAUAUUUUUUAGAUGCAAAUUGUAUUGUAAGGAUCGAUGGUCAGUUUGAACAAUCACUAGCUUCUCCAACAGAUAGUGUCACCUCUUCUUUGUGGCAUUUACAAUUAUUAAUUAUUUUCAAUGAAGUGUAAAAUAAAUAUGCUAUGCCCUUUUGAAUUUACGUAAUUCAUAAUCCAUAGAUUGAAGGCCCCUACCAAAGUCUUGUUGAAGGACCUCUCUAAUAGCAAAGUCAAAAGUAUCAAUGUUAAGUAUAUAAAAAAAGUUGAAAUUAUAUGGUUGUAAUAUUGGAAUAAUAAUGAGUGUCUCCUUCAACCUAUCAAAGGCACUUUGGUGCUCCAAUUUCCAUUCAAAUACGACAUCUUUUUCUAAUAGGCUUGUCAAUGAGGCAACAAUGUAUACAAAUUAUUAAAUAAAAUAGUGACAAUAUCCAACAAGGAUUAGGAAUGAGUGAACUUCAGAAGUAUCUUUGGAGGUAGGCCAAUCUUCCACUACUUUCACCUUAUAAUGCCCUAUGCGCAUGCCUUUAGAGGAUACUACAUAUCUCAAAAUGGUGACUUUUGACUUCUAAAGUUUAUGCUUUGACUAUCUUAUAAUCAGUGCAAUACUUUUUGUAAAUAUUGCUCAUGCUCCUCAAGGAUUUUAUUAUAUAUUAAAAUAUCAUCAAUGAAAAAAAGUACAUAUUUAUUCAAAAGUCUUGAAUUAAUUUGUUCAUAUAAUCCAUGAAGGAGGCUGGAGCAUUGGUGAAGCCAAAAGAUAAAACAAGCCAUUCAAAAUAUUCAUAGUGCAUACAAAAUAUCAUCUUUUUUAUAUCAUUUCUUGUAAAAGGUAUCUACCAAUAACUAUUCUAAAGAUCUAAUUUACUAAAGAUAGUUAUAUUUUAAAGUUGGUCAAAAAGAUCAUGUAUGUAUAAAAAUGGAUAUGCAUUUUUAAUAGUCUUCUUAUUGAAGCCUCAAUAGUCAAUAUAAAGCCAAAGUCUACCAUCUCUCUUAGGUACAAAGAAUACAUGUACUCCCUAUGGUGAUGUGCUUUCUUGAAUGAAGUCCUUUUCUAAGAAUUCAUCCAAUAUCUUCUACAGUUUUUUAAGAUCAUUUGGUGCUAGGUAAUAAAUUGGCCAACUUGCUGACUUGGUCUCAAGCAAUAGUUCUAUUUGAAAGAAAGCACCUCAAUCAAAAGUCACACCAGUAAGUAGAUCAAUUGGAAAAAUAUUCCAAUAUUUUCAUAUAAAUUGUUCUGUCCAUUCUAUUCUUUUGGCUAUCAUUUUGACCACUAAUGUAAGGUUUGGAACCACCAUAUAAACUGGUUGCUAAUGCUCUAUUUGCUUCUUCAUAAAGGUCAUUUCUACAAAUAAGUUUUUAGUCACAGAUUAUUUUUUUUGUUUCAUUCAAUGUGAAGGUACAAAGAGUCACAUUGCAUCCACCAUCUUUGAAGGAAAUUGUCCUUACUAGCCAAUCAACUUGUUCAUUUUCUACCUCUAGCUAUGGCAUACCAAGGAUAAUAUCAUAUCUUAGCUUUGUUACCUUGAACAUCUUUCCUAAGACAUAUAUAUUUUUUAAUCUUAAUAUUUUUUCUUCAUAUAUUUCAUUCAAUACGUUUUUUUGGUUAUAUGUAAGGUAUAUAUAUAUAUAUAUAUAUAUAUAUAUAUAGUAGCUAGAUUUUAAUUCUAAAUAUUAUUUUUAGUUAAAAUAUGAUUUUUUAUAGAGCCACAAUCCAUAAGCACAUGACAUGGCUGUCCUCUUUGUUGUCCCUUUAGAUAUACCAAUCGAUCCUUUCUAUAUUUAUCUAAGGCCAUACUAUUUAUCUUUGAGAGACAAUAAUUAUCCUUAGUACUCGUCUUCAGAGUCUUUACUAGAGAGCCUUGUUUCUUUGCUCUAUCUUGUUAUCCACUUAGCGAAUCUUGAGACUAUGAACCUACCUUGAUUUGUUGAUACUUGAAUUUUGAAGUUUUGAAUAACCUUUGAUUUAAUCGCCUAGCUCUUGAUCAUAAAAACAUAAUUUUUUUUGAGCCAAUAUUUAUUAUUUUUGUAGUAUCAAUGAUUCUUGUAGGAUAUUAAUCUCAAAUAGUAUUGGUUGUUGUCCCAUAGUAUUAUAUAGUAAUAUAAGACUUCGUGUUAUAGGUUGUAUUCAAAAUUUUUUGAAAUCUAUAACAUUGACUCUCUUUGCAAUCCUAAUUGCAUCUUUAAAUAUUUGAGGAUCUCUUAGUUCUAUUUUUUGGUAGACCUAAUGUUGAACUGUAAAUAUUUAUAAAACAUAAAAAUUAGUUAAAACAUAUUAUAUGUUGAUAAAUCUAGAUGUAUAUUAGAGUGGUUAAUAGAUUAAAUUAAAAAGAGUUGGUUUAAGAAACCUUACUUUAUUUCUUUUAUAACUUUUGAUUUUGGCAUAUAUAUAUAUAUAUAUAUAUAUAUAUAUAUAUAUAUAUAAAACCUAAAUAUUUAGUAUGAAGCCUUGAAAGAAGGUGGAAGCCUAAAAAAGAAAAUUCAAACUAGUGGGAGGCUAAUUGAAAGGGAUGAAAGCAAAGCAUGGUCGGAUGAAGACAAGGAAUGGAGAACUUCAUCCCUAUUAAUCAAAUACCAUACCCAAUAGGCUUUGAGGAGGCUACCUACAACCUUAAGAAAGGUUCCAGUAACUUCAAAAGAGGCAUUUGGAAAUUAGAAGCCAAAGUUAUAAGGUUUAGGAUUUGGACUAUAAUUUUUGUGCAAAAUUUAGAAGAUUUGGAAUUAGGAUGAAGAAGUUAUAGUUGUUUGAAGUUAAGGUAUUAGUUUAAGACAUAAUAUUAUUCUUUUGUGAAUACAAGGAGUUGUACGGUAGUUUUUGAAGAUCAAAAGGUGUAGCUAAAAUAGCAAUUUUAAGGCCUACAUCUUUUAUGAAAGAAUUAUUGCUUUUGAAGUUCAUAUAAAGGAGAUAUAAGGAAUUGAAGGCAAUGCUUCCUAAUCAAAGGUAAUAAGUGAGCGGUUUUAUUUAUAGUAAUGGUUGGAGCCAUAACUUGAGUUUUUGGGUAAAUUUUUGGCUCAAAAUUUUUGGAAAAUAAUUUUUUUGGUAUUAUAAAGCUAUAAAUAUAAAUUUCAUAGCAUUUGAGCUUUUAUUUUAUGAGAUAUAAAGGAAAUUUUACACAAAAAUAUAAAGAUAAGGGCUUGAAGUGAUUAUUAGGGUUUUUAAGAUAUCUCAAGAUCCACAAUAAAUUUGUAGUUGAAAUUUGUUUUGAAAAUUGAUAAGAAUAGAUCAGUACUUUAUGUAAAAUUUGAAUAAGUUUGGAUGAUUGGAUCAAGAGAUAUGACGUAUUAAAGUUUGAGAAAAUUUCCACGUAAUCAUAUACAAGGUUUUAGAAGAUUUUAUCAUAUUUUGGAUGUUGUUGAGGCUUGUGUAUUUGGUGUAAUUACUUCAAAAAGAAAAAUUUAUAUAUAAAUUUAGGGCUUCCCUUAUUUUGAAGCUUGAUUAAGUAAUUAGUGAUAAUUAGGAGCCCAGUGCUUUCUUGAGGCAAACUCUUUCUACCCAGAUACUGAAUUUUGAUUCUUGUAGAAAUCAAUCGAUUAUCUUUGCCUCUAAAACAUUGCUAAUUUAAAGACAUAGGGAUUUAAAUCAAAAGAUAUAUUCUUGCAUUAACCUAGAUUGUGAAAGAUUUGUCAACUAGUUGUAUACUAUCUUCUCUGCACUGAUGGGCCAAAAUUGAUUCUUAAACUUGGUUUCAAAUUCCUCCCAAUCACAAAAUCUACCUUCAUUUCUAUAGAUUUGAACUUGUUAUUGCUACCAAAUGGCUAUCGCAUCUCUCAAAUAGCUGGCUACAUAUAUAAUUCUUUUGAUGGUAUUUACCUUUGAUGAUUGGAGGUAUUAUUGCAUAUUUAAGAGCCAUUAGCAUACAUCUUCUUGCCUUGAAGUCUCAAAGUUUAUACCAAGCUUAUUCAAUUUUAGCCUAGUAGAUGUUGAUUCUUUUAUCUUAAAGGCUUGUAUUUGCCUUUGCAAAGUAGCUAUCUAGCCUACGAGGUGUUGUAUCUCAGCCUUUAUCUAAGAUUUCUUUGUCAUAUCUUCUAUAUUGUAAUUUCUUCACUGGACUGCAUUAUUAUAAUGCCUUCUUUCUUUUCAGAUAAUAUCAUGGAUAUACAUAUAUAUUUUAAUAAAUACCUAUAUAGUUAUAUAGAAAUAAAUAAAAAUAGAUAAAAAUUAAUUAAUUUUAUAAUACUUUUUAAAGAAGCUUCUUAGAAGUUUCAUAGAUGGUGCUUUGACUUUACAUGUAUUUGUAGUUAAUUGAUAGGUUAAUAAUUUGGUCCAAAAAUUAAUCACGUAUUGAUAGCUUGUAGAACAAGUUAAUUAUAUGGCUUAUAUAUAGAAAACUUGCCUUACAAGUUAAAAUACAUAUUUUAUAAAGUCAAUACAUUUUAGAGGUCCUAUAAGAUAUUCCUAUAUAGUUCUAAGUUAAGAGUAUAUAUGGAGGCAAGAGUGAAGCCUUCUUUACUCUUAUCAACGCCUUUCUAGUCUUUAGUCUUAUUUCAAGACUUUUUAAUUUUCUUGUUUUUGGCAAUAGCUAUUUUAAUUCAAUAUUAUAUUAUCUUUGAGUAAGUUUUUAAUUCUUUGUAGUAAUAGAGAAAUAUAUUAAGGAUUUUUUUUCUUCAAGAUUUAUGUCCAUGACUAUUUGACAAGAGUGCUAACCUAGUAUUUUUAUCUUAUUUUAAAAAUGAGUAGAUUACUUGACUUCUUUUGUUGUAUUUUGAAGGUUUCAGUCUAUCCAUCUUUAAAUAAUUUUUUUUUUCUAACACUGAUCUUUUCUUUGAAGAGAGUAGUUUAUCCUACUUUAUAGAAAUUUUCUUUUGAUAUUAGAGAUUGCAAAUUACUUUCUUUUAAUUUAAACUUUUGAAUUUGUUUGAAUUGUCUAUGAAAGGAAAGAUUAUAUAUGCUAUACGUAAUAGAAGUGAGAGUAGAUUUACAACCAUUGCAAAUCUUUAUGAGCUCGUCAAUACUUCAAGAAUAUAAAUCUUACAUAUUUUUAACGUAAAUCAUGAAGGUACUUUUCCUACUCUUAUAGAAGAAGUUCAAAGUCUAUGAUAAGAAGUUGUGUAGUUGAAGGAAAUAAGUAGAUUUACUUCACAAUCAAAUACAAGGAAUUUUGCUUCUGUAAGUAUGAUAGGGAGAAGGAUUUGUAUGCUUGAAAAGUUUGAUGGAAAAAGAUCAAAUUUUGAGGAUUUCUAGAAUAAGUCAAGCUCUAUCUAAGAUUGCAUCCCUUCCAAUACUUUAAUAGAUUUAUUCGAGUUGGAUUUAUAAGUACACUUUUAUAAAGAAGUGUUUUUUUUUAUUUAUAAUUUUAAUAGGAAAGAAUUCAUGAUUCUUUUAUGAUUUGAAUUCAUUCUUAGAAGUAUUUAUAACCACAUUUGGAGAAAGUGAUCAAAAAAGAGUAAUAAAGACUAAGCUCUUAUCUUUACAAUAAAGAUCAUGGUCAACCACCAUAGAUGCUACUCAAUUCUAAAACCUUGCUUACAACGUGGAUUAGAAUGACAAAUUUCUUAUGAAUUAAUUUUGAUAUGUCAAAGAUUUAUUACUCAUGUUGUCAAAAGAAAAAUCUUGGAACAAUUUAUUGCUCAAGCCAUUGCAUGCACAAAUUGAUUAUUUGAAAGAUGUUAAAAAUAAAGAUAUGGCUAGAGAAGAAUAAAUCAAAUAAUGAUGGCAGCUUCCAAGGAUUCAAAAAUCCAUUCAUUAAGGCCAAAACUAAUGCAAAUUGACAUAAUAUAUUUUAAACUCCUCAUAGAGUAGGAAAAAAUUGACAAUGUUGAGAGGGCUUAUGCUUAUAUUAUAGGGAAGCUAAAUAUACUACUCAAUAUUAUCCAAAAAAACAACGCAACCACAAAAUAAGAAGAAUGAUUGCUAAUAAAGAUAAUGUGUUAAAAAAUAAGUUCUCUAACUACAAUAGAAACUAUGUGGUUGGAAUCUUACAUAACUCAUAGUAAAGGUCCUAUUCUCUCUUCAGAUCUUUCACCUUAUUUUACAAUAGAAGUUAUUUAAGACCAAAAAAUCACAAAGUCUUGGCUUAAUUAGAUUCAAGAGCCUCAACCUCUUUUAUAAAUAAAGAUUUUGUAAAAAAAAAGAGAUAUUAUUAAUUAAAAAAACUAAACAUAUACAUGUAGAAGUCAUAGAUGGUCAUUUGCUAUCUUUUGGAGAAAUUAUGCAUAAAACUAUUCUUUUAGAUGUAGUAAUUAAAGAUCAUAAUAGCAUAAUAAUAUUUAAUAUAAUAAAAACUUCAUCCAAUUUGAUCAUUUUAGAACUAUUUUGAUUAAAAAAGUAUAAUCCUUAGAUAGAUUGGAUUUCUCACUGUCAUAUUAUAUGAAGUCUUGCUUAAAAAUGCAUCGGACACUUGGCUAAUGAAGGUAGAAUGAAAAUUACUAUAAAAAUUUUUUAAUUCUAAUAAAAGACUAAAUAAAAUCUAAUUAAAUCUUAAUAAUUCUAAAAAAUAUUUAAUCAAAUUCAAAAUAAAUCUUAAAAAAAUUACAAGAGAAACAAUAAGAAAUCUUAAAAGAAUUGAAAGAAAAUUCUUAAUAAAUCUUAAAAGAAUCCUUAAGAAAUCUUUAAAUUUUUUAAAAUAAUCACAAAUAUUUCUUAAAUAAAUCUCAAAUGAAUUCUAAUUUAAUCUUCAUUGAAACCCUAAUAGACUUCAAUCAAAUUCUAAAUAAAUCCUAAAUCCUAAACCAAAUUUUAGAAAAAUUCUAAAUCCUAAAUUAAAUCAUAAAAAAAUCCUUAAUCUUAAAUCAAUCCUUAGACAAAUCUUAAAUACUAAAUCAAACUCUAAACAAAUUCUAAACCUUAAAUAAAUUCAAUUUAAUCCUAGUACUAUUUAGAACCCCAAUAUUUAGCAAUUGAACCAUCGGUCUUGCUUAAAAAUUUAUACACUUUUUGACAACUAAGUUGGUAACAAGCAUACAAAAUUUCAAGAUAAUUUUACUUAUCAAAUAGAAGAAAAAUCCUAAACAUAAUAUCUUUUUUAUUUCACAAAUUUCAUAGUCAUCCAAAACAAUUGUAACUUUGCAAAGCUCUUGCAAAGUCAUUAUAAACUCAAAUCACUAAAAAUAAAUGUUUAAAGAAAUAUUUUUAAGUUUAUUUUUUAGUUUCAUUCUUUGAUUUAUAAAAGAUUCUCAAAGUUAUCAUAGGUACCUAGUUUUGUAUCUCAGGGUGUGAUUUCGAGGUAGGUUGAUAACUGAUCUUUUGCAAAUAUCACAUUUUAUUCUUUUGAAUUAAUUUUUAUUAAAAUCAACUUCUAAUUUCUUUCUAUAUAUAUUUAUAUUCUUUAUUUUUUUUAUAUACCUUAUUUUGUCUUAUUUAUGGCCUUAUAAAGUAAAUAGAAGCCUACUUUAUAAAAAGAUAGCAUUUAUAUCUUUAGUUUUAUUUUCUUUUGGACUAUUAUCUAUUUUUUAAGAUAAUUUUCUAUAAUAUUUGAAGAAAGAUCUUCUAUAAUAUAAUAAUUUCUUCAUCAUUUUUAUCUAUUAGUUUUGUUACAUCAUAACAUUGUCACUUUAAUUUUUUUGAUAGUUUAACCUAAAUUCUUAUUAAUCAAAUAGAAACACAUAAGUCUAAUACAUUCAAACUCUUAUUGAUAGAUGCAAGAGCUUUCAUGCAUGCUAAAAAAAGGGUUAUCUUUUAUUAUAUAUUCCAUGCCUAUUUUUGAUGGUAAAAGAAUAUUAUAUAUUAUUUUUAGUUAGUAUUAAGAUUUCUAAGAUAUUUUUGAAAAGAAGAAUGCAAAUAAUUUUCUAGAGCAUUGUCCUUAUGAUUGUUCCAUUGAUCUUCAUAAAAGAAUUCAACCACCAUUUUAACCAAUUUAUGGCCUAUCACAAAAUAAGUUGGCUACAUAAAAAAAAUAUAUUGAUAAAAAAUUGGCUAAAAAUUUCAUACGUCAUUCUAAAUCUCCAACCAAGGCUCCUAUCUUAUUUUGAAGAAAAAAGAUGGAUCUCUGCAGAUGUAUGUGGACUAUCGAGGAUUCAAAAAAAUCACCAUUAAAAAAAGACAUCCUUUAUCUUAAAUUUCAGAACUUUUUGAUCAACUAAAUCAAUCAAAUAUCUAUACAAAAAUAGAUCUAUAAAGAGUAUAUAAACUAGUAUGCAUUAAAAAAAGAGAUGAAUAGAAAAUUAUGUUUUGAACCAGAUGUGGAUAUUUUGAAUAUAACAUUAUGAUUUUUGGACUCACAAAUACACUAGCUUCUUUUUAAUAUCUAAUAAAUGAUGUCUUUUAUGAGUUUCUUAAUGAUUUUUUCAUCAAUUAUUUGGAUGAUAUUUUAAUCUAUUCUAAAAAUACAAAAAAACAUGAAGUUUAUGUUUGACGUGUAUUACAAAAACUUAGAAAUGCAAGAUUAUAUGCCAAGUUAAAAAAGAGUGUAUUCGACACUAUUUAAGUUGACUUUUUAGCAUACAUCAUUUCCAAUAAGGAGCUAAUGAUGGAUCUGAAGAAGGUCCAAACUAUUAUAGAUUAGAAAAUUUGAAGAAUAAUAAGAGAUGAGCCAUGUUUUUUGAGCUUUGUCAAUUACUAUCGGAUCUUCAUCAAGAAUUUUUCUUAAGUUGUAGCUUCACUUAUACAUUUCACAUAUAAAGACAAACUUAAGUAGAGUAAAGAAGACAAAGCAUUGUUUGAUAUUUUAAAAAAGAAAUUUAAUUUUACAUCAAUUUUAUAUUGUGUUGACUUCUCUGAGGUAUUUUUCAUAGAAAAAAAAUGCAUCAAACUUUGUCUUAGCUGUAGUAUUAUCAUAAAUAGGAGCCAAUAGAAAACACCACCCAAUAGCUUUCUAUUCCAAAAAAAUUUCAGCAGCCAAGAUUAAUUAUGAAAUCCAAAAUAAAGAGCCAUUUAUAAUCAUGGAUUCAUUUUAAUAAUUACAUCAUUAUUUAGAAGGUACCUUAAGUGUAGUCACAGUUGUCGUACUGUAAUUGCUUAUAAUAUAUAAAAAUUAAUUAAGACAUAUAAUAUGUUUGUAAGUCGAUGUAGAUUAGAGUGGUUAGUAAAUAAAUUUAAAGAGAAUUGAUAUAAGAAAAUUUAUUUGGAGAUUUAUCUAUUUUGAUUAUAGUAUUUAUAUUAUGUAGGAUUUAGAUAUUUAGUGUAAAAUUUAAAGGAAGGUUGGACUCUAAAGAUGAAAGUCUAAACUAUUAGGAGGCUUAUUGGGAGGAAUGAAAGGAAGGCAUGAUUUGAUGAAGGCAAGGAAUAAAGAUCUUCAUUCUAUUGGUCGAAGGCCAUGUCCAAUGGGCUUCAAGGAGGCUGCCUGAGGCCUUAUUAGAGAUUAGGAUUUCUCUUUUGAUGUCAUUUGAGCUUUGGAGGCUAAGUUCAGCAAGUUCAGGAUUUUUUAUAUAAUUUGGAUGAAGAGUUUGUGUGAUUUCGAGUUUUUAUGAAGGAGAUAUAGGUGUUCAAAGUUAAGGUGUCAAAUUUGUACCUACUAACACUCUUUGAAGCAUAACAUAAUCGUACGGAGAGCAAUGAAAGAUUGAUGAUUAGAAUUGGAGAGAACACUUUCUUGACUACACUUUACAUAUACUGUUUGAUAAAUUCUAAGUCUAGAUGAAAGAGUUAUACGGUGUCGUGAUAUAACAUGAUUAAUAGGUGAAAGAGUGUGGAGAUUAUUAUAAUUUAAGAGAUCUUAGUUCAAAGUAUUAGAACAAAUUAUCUUAGAAAUAUAGUUAAUAGCCAAAGGGGUAGAAAAAUUAAAAGGUAUCAAUGUUGCCUUUUAGAAAGGUGACUUCUACUUACUUUGUAGUACCAUAAGUAAGGCAAAUCAAAGUAGAUUGGGAAAAUAAAUGAUAUAGGAAUCUUUAGAAGAAAGUUAAGAGUAAAUUCUAGAAAAAAUUUACUUAGAAAAAUUAGAUAUUGAUACCCGGAGAGGGCCGGUUAUGAACUAGGGUCGAAAUCAGACUCUAAGGCACAAAACCGAGUCUCAACGACGACUCCGGGACUCUUUGGCAGAUCAAAGAGUGGAAUUGGAGAGAAAGUUGGAUAGGGUUUCUAUGGGAAUUGAUUUUGGGUGAUUUGGAGUUGAUAUGAAUUUGUAAGAGCUUUGCAAAGUUGAGUUUUUUUUCGGAUGACUUAGAUUUUAUGAAAUAAAAUAGGGUUUAUGUUUUAAGUGAUUUCGAUAGUUUUGUUGCAGAUCUACGGAUAAACUUCUUUGAAUUCAUGUUUAUAGUUGUGUUGAAUACAUGUGAAUUUGAACUUGAUCUAACGGUUGAACAAAGAGAUAUGGAGGUUUAAGUGAGUCAAGGUCUCAGAAAGUAGAAUUUUAGGUCUAGUGAGGGUUUUUAAGAUUUCAUGCAAUCUACUAGUUGGAUUGGAAUAAAACUUAUGUGAGAAGAUAUUAGACUUGUUUUCCUAUGUCCUUGUGAAAUUUAAAACCAAUCGAAUGGCGCAAAGAAGAGAAAUUGGCUAUGGAAGUUUGGCAACAAGAUUGCAGAAGGAGGCCGUCUAAUACCCAAUCACAUUUUUGAAGUUUUCGUCAAUUUGGUAACUCCGAUCCUUUUUAAAAUUUUUUUGCUUGUUUUGAACUUGAUUUUUAAGAAGUAUGCAAAUUUUGAAUUGAGAUCAACGGUUUAUUCAUUAGAUAUUGAGGUUUAAAUCUGUCAUAGGAAUUACUAGGAUUUGGAUUAGGGCUUGGCUAGGGUUCGGUUUAGGAUUUGGAUUAGGAUUUGGAUUAGGGUUUGGAUUAGGGUUUAGGAUUUCAUUAGGGUUUGGCUAGGAUUUGGUUUAGGAUUUGGAUUAGGAUUUAGGAUUUCAUUAGGGUUUGGCUAGGAUUUGGUUUAGGAUUUGGAUUAGGAUUUGGAUUAGGAUUUAGAUUAGGAUUUAGGAUUUGAUUAAGGUUUGAUUUAGGGUUUAGAUUAGGGUUUGGAUUAGGAUUUGAUUUAGGGUUUGGAUUAGGGUUUGAUUAGGAUUUGAUUUAAAGUUUGGUUUAGGAUUUAGGAUUGGAUUAGGAUUUGGUUUAGGGUUUCAUUUAGGAUUUGAUUUAGGGCUUAGGAUUUGGAAUCGGAUUUAAUUUAAGAUUUGUUUAGGAUUUGACUUAGGAUUUAGGAAUUAUUAGGAUUUAAGAUUUAAUUAGAUUUGGUCUAAAGUUGAGUGAAAUUCAAUAGGGUUUUAACUAGAAUUAAAUUAAGGUUGAAUUGACAUAUAUUUGAGUAAAAUUUGUAAUCAUUCUAAUAUUUCUUUAAGAAUUUUAUUAUUUGUUUGAAAUUUCUUUGAGUUGUUUUGAAUUUGAUUACGUUUAUUUACCAUUAUUAUAGUCUAAUUAGAGCAUUGUUAGUAUUCUAUUUAGGAUCUUAUUAUCACAAUUUUUAUUCUUCCUUCUACAGCCAGGUGCCUGGAGCAUUGUCAAGCAAGACUUCACACAUUACGACAAUGGCAUUGAAGAUAGCACAUGUAAUUCAAAGGUAGAAAGUGAGGAAUUUUGUUGAUAGUAAUGUUUGGAGCCAUAUCUUGAGUUUGUGGACGAAUUUUUGGCUCAAAAUUUCUAUAAGUGUGAGUUAUUAAGUUAAAAAGCUAUAAAACAAAGUUUCAUGGUAUUUGAAUACUUAUUUUGUGAGAUAUAAAGAAAUUAGCAUGUGGGUGUAUGUAAGCUAGGAUUUAAAGCUACUAUUAGGAUUUUGGUGAUAUCUCAAGAUCCGUAAUGAAUUUAUAAGAAAAUAUUUUUGUGGUAGUUUUUGAAAGCAUAUCAGUACUUCAUGUAAAAUUUAGGGUUUUUUUGGACAGUCCAAUUGUGAGAUAUGAGCUAUUGAAGUUUGGAAAACAUCUCUUAUAUAGAUAUAUAAGAUUUUAAGAUACUUUAUUAUACAUUUGGGUAUUUUUUUGGUACUUGGGCUUAUGUUUUGAUAUAAUUAUCUAAAAAGAAAAAAUAUUAUAUAUAUAAACUUGGUAUUUUUAUAUCUUAGACUUGAUUGAGUAUUUAGUGGUAGCUAGAAGCCUAGCGCUUUCUUGAGGCAAAUUCUCUCUACUCUAACAUAUUGAUGCUUCUAUUGAGAGAGCCUUAAGGCAUUAAUUAUGUCAAUAAGUUAAGAUGGGAGAUCAAAAUCCAGGGUUUUGAUUAUUAGGAGGAAUAGGUACCCAUGAUUUAUUUAGGACAUUUGCUCAAUUUAUUGAAGAAAGGCAACAGGUACAUGAGGAGGAUAGAAAUACUACCAAAGCUUUACAAGUAGUGGUAGAUAAAAUUGGAUGGUUUGAUGAGAGGAAUAUUACUAAGUUCCUCAGGAUUUAUAUAUGUGAAAUGGAAGUACAUUAGGUUUCAGAAAUGAAGAUGAUUACCACCUUGGAUUUAGUAGUGGUACCAGAAAUUAGAGAAAGGGUUCAAGAGUUGCAUACUGAAACUAUAUCAUAGAAGAAAUUUGAAGAAUUCUUGAAAGAUGAAUUUUUUGAGGAAGAUUCACAAAGAAUGACAAAACAGACUUUUUUGAAGUAGAUUGAGCAAAGGCUAGGGAAUCAAUUGGCUCGAAAUGAAUUAAUUAGGAAAUUUGAGACCAAAUUUGAGCAAUUACCAUGGCAAGAGAGACACCUCUUGGAAACAAGAAAAACUAGAUUAUUUUUAUAAGCAACUGAUGAAUAUUUGGAAGAUAAGCUUUUGUUUUAUUUAGCAAAUAAGACAUGUGAGAGUGCUUUUAUAAAUAAUUAGAAGCUAGUAAAAGAGACAGUGGAACUUUUGGCUAAAUAACAAAAAAUUAAGACUCGUCGUUUAAUAUCGAGAUUAGAAUCAAUGCCUACAUUUUAGAAUCAAGGACUACUUUAAAAAGUGAUCAAGACUGUUAAAGAUGGUACACUUGAAGAAUUGAUCAAGGGCAUAUAAGAUUUGAAGAUAGAAAUGAUUAAGUUGAAGAAAUCGUAGAUUGCAAAUUCAUCAAAGACAAUUGAAGGCUCAAAGGGAUUUGUAGAGAGAUAUAUGUGAUGUGAUAAUCUAAACCACAAGUGUGGUAAAUGUGACAGCUACAAAAGUACAAUCAAAGAUGGUAUUGUAUAUUUCAAAGAGGGCAAGAUAAGACUCACAUAGUCAAAUGAGCCUUUAAAGAUAAAUUUUAGAAAGGGUGGCAUGAAAAAAUUGAUAGAAGAGCAAAUAUCAAGGAAUAAUGCCAUACAAGGAGAAGAAGCUAAGUCUUACUCUGUUAUAGUUGAACAAAAAGUACUUAAGGCUAGUUUCCUAACAACUACAAAAGUCAUGAUCAGAGGAGCUGAAGCUAUCAAAAAAAUGACUGGAUGGAAUGAUUUAGUUGAUGCUAUUAAUAUUAAAUCAUAUUUAUGUAGAGACAAACAUGAUGAUGAUUUACAUGAUGCCAUGGUUGAAGAAAAAAGAAGUAGAGCUAUUUAUAAGGAAGAUGUUAUUGAGCCUGAAAAUAAGAGGAGGUCUUCAAGAAACAAAGAAGUUUUUAAGGAGCAAAAAUUGAAGAAAAUGCCUUCUUCAACUCAUCUUGGUGGUGCACCAUUAUCAAAAGAGUGGUGAGAGAAGAGCAAAGAGAAGGGGAAAGAUGAUGCAAGCAAACUUAAAGGUAAAAAUCAUACUUAUAAGCUUCAAUUUGACAUUGAAACAUCUACAGAUAUAAAGAGCAUUUUAGAAGAGAAGAUCUUAGAUGUAGAAAUUAAAUUCACUCUAAGAGAGACUCUUGGUAUAACUAAAAAGGAUUUCUGUGAGUUGAUCAUCAAUGUGAUAAAGAGGAAGAGACAAAUGACAACUGAAGCUAUUAUGAUAGAGGCAUUGAGUACUCGAGUAACUAUGGAUGAAGAAGAAGAGAUAGGAUAGGUAUUUGUACAAUUUACAAUGCUAGAAGAUGGAAUUAAAGUUGAUAUGGAAAAUGAGGCUUUAAAUAAAUAUGAAGAAGCUAUAGAAGAGGAUCAAAUGAAAUGUGCAUCUAUAAGAUUUACUGAAAUAAAGAAGAAUGCAUAAGAAGCAUGUGUAAAUACUUCCUCUAAAUGUAAUAAUGAUGGAAUGAGAAGUAAUAGUUAUUCAAUUCCUUAUUGGACUACAGCUACUAUGGAGACAUAUGUGAGGUUGGAGGACUCUAAAGAUCCAAUUUUGACCUUAGUUGAUCAUGGAUCUGAAAUCAAUAUCAUAUCAAGGCUGAUAUAUGAGAAAAAUAAGUGGCCUGUUGAUACCAAUCAUGGUUAGGUAAUUAGAGCUGUAAACAACCAACAAGGUGAUUUAUACGGAGCUUGCUUAGCUAUAAGAAUUAGGAUUAGAGAUGUCAAAGUGGAGCAUAAUUUCUUUGUACAAAACUCUCCUACAUAUCCGAUAAUAUUUGAUCAACCCUAUAUUACAAUUUCUAGAAUAGAAACUAGAGUCUUGGAUGUUGGUUCACAUUAUGCCAAAAUUCGUAAUUAGAAUGGAAGAAAAGUUGUGCAAUUUAUUACUGUGAAACCUAUCCAUGAGAGACAUAGAGAAUAAUUAAGAAGAAUGCCUUUGGAACCAUGAAACAACUUUGUAGAUUUCUAAAAAACACCCUUAUAGAAUGAGGACACAUGGAUGCAAAUAAGUCAUCUGCAAAUCCCAUUGUAGAUAAUAUGAGUUUUGGAUUUUUAAACUUGACUAGUAAUGGAUUUGUGAGUAUUCAAAAGAUUAAAGAUUUAGAUUUUUUUACAUACAAGAAGGAUGAAGAAACAAGAAAAAAACUUAAAGAGAGUGGAUUUAGUUUCAAAUGAUGAAGCCAUUGUUGGAAUAAUAGAAGAAAUAGGUUUGGAAGAUGAUUUGAUAAAGGUUCUUGAGAAUUUAGCUAUAAGCAUAGAUGAAAAUGCUAUAGUAGAAAUAUAUUCAAGAGAGACUUAUGAGAAAUUAGAAAAAAUAGUAGUAAUUGGUGGACUUGCUACAAGCUACAAAUUAAAACAUGAGGCUUGAAUAUAAACUAAAUAUAAAGCUGUGAUAAGAAUGGUAAAGCCUAUAGCUAUCCAAUUACCAGUUGAUACUAUGGAACAUAUCAAUCAAGUAAUUAAAGAGCCAAGUCUAAGAGAAGGAUGUGGAAUUGGACAUCAAUUUAUUCAAGAAUCAUUAGCUAAAUUGAAGAUUGGAGGGAGAGAUUUCUUGACAUCAACGGAGAAAAUUAUGUUUCAAGAAAUACUUAUUAGGCAUGAUAAGGUAUUUGUAUUAAUUCUUGAUGAAAUUGGAUUUGUGGAUUCUAAUGUUGUAGUACCUAUGGUAAUCUUUAUAGUGCCACAUGUUCUAUAAAAUUUAAAGCCUAUACCUAUGCCCAGAGCUUUACUUCCAAAGUUGAUAAAACUACUAAAAGAAAAGGUGAAGAUGGGUAUUUUAGAACCUUCAAUUGCUUCCUAUUCUAAUAGAUGGUUCACAGUACCCAAGAAGUCAGGGGCAUUAAGGUUUAUUCAAGAUAUGCAACUUGCAAAUAGAGUAAUUAUUUGGAAUAUGGGAUCAAGUCUUAUAGUAGAUGAAGUGGUUGAAUAAUUUGUAAGUCAUGCCAUCUAUUCUAUUGGAGACUUAUAUUCUAGAUAUGACCAAUUUUAAUUAGCUAAACAGAGUAGAGACUUAACUACUAUGAAGACUUUUUUGGAUUUAAUGAAGAUGUGUACCUUAUCUCAAGGUGCAACCAACUUAGUGGCUCAUAUGUAAAAUGUUAUGAACCAAAUAUUGAAAGAAUUUAUUCUUAAAAAAAUCAUACCAUUUUUUGGUGAUAUAUCUAUAAAAGAAGAUAAAAAAGAAGACAAGGAUGAGACUAUAGAGGUUGAAGGUUGUAGGAAGUGUGUUAAAAGGCAUAUUGAAGAUGUGGCUCAAAUAUUAGAGAGAUUGGAGUGAGUUAAUUGCAUGUUAAUUUUGGAGAAAUUAAAAUUUGGAGUUAAUGAGAUUCUAGUAUUAGGACACAUGUAUGGCAGGUAUGGUAGGAAACGAAACGCUAAUAAAAUUAAUACUAUAUCUAGAAUGAAGGCUUUUAAAAAUGUUACAGAAGUCAGAAGGUUUUUAGAAGCAUGUGUAUUCUAUUACAUUUGGGUGCCUCACUUUGUUCAUAUCUCAGAGCCACUAUAUAAGUUAUUACAUAAAGAUAAGUGAUUUUUUUGGGAAAGAGAACAAAAAAUAGCUAUAGAAAACCUAAAAAAGAUAUUGAAUUCACCACCUAUACUUAGACAAGUGGUUAUAACAGUGGAUAUAAGCCCCAUAGCAAUUGAAUGGGCUAUUAGAUAAGUUGAUGUAAAAGGGAGAAGGUUUGCUAUAAGGUUUUGAGCCAUGAUUCUUAUAAAGAGGUAAUGGGCUUAUCCACAAGUUAAAAGACAAAUUUGGGAAGCAUUCAUCGCUUUAAAGGCCGAGAAGAAUUAUUUGAUUGGAGCAAGUAUGGUUUUGGAAACAAAUUGUUUGCCAUUACUUUGAAUGAUAAUUAACUGUACUAUUCCAGAUAUUACCAUAUUAACAUAGAUAGCCUAUAUAAGAACAUUAAAUCCUAUUUUAAUACUUCUUACUGGUAAAGAAAACUUAUUAGUAGAUAUGUUGUUUAGAGCUAGAUAUACCUUUGAAGAGAAAAUGAUGGCACACGAAGGAGGUGAAGAUCAAGAAGAGAAGAGUUAUGAAAAUUCUACGAAGAUUUGUAUAAAGGUAGAUUGAAGGAUAUUGAAAUUUAUUUAAGCACAAUGAUGAAACAAGAAAGGUGGACGGAUAAAACCUUCAAAGAUAUUAGACAUCAAUCCUAUGGUUAUUUGCUUGGGGAUGGAUUCCUAUAGAAGAGGCCAAAAUGAGGUGAUAAAAUUCUAUUGAAAAUAGUAGGAGAUCUUAAAAUUAAGUUUAAGGUUUUAAGAGAAUAUCAUGAUAGACUUUGGGCAAGGCACACAGGAGUUUGGGCCACAUAUAUCAAAAUGAAGAAAAGGUAUUUAUGAAAGGGUUUAUAUAAGGAUGUAGAAGACUUUGUGAGCUCAUGCACAAAGUGUCAACUAUAAUCUAAAGUUACGUACAGAGAUGAAUUACAUCUUAUUUAUCCACCUUCAAUACAUUUUCAAUGGAUAAUUGAUUUGGUAGCUAUGCCAUCAAAACUUUGGGAUAUGAAAUAUUUGGUUUUGGCAAGAGAAGAGCUGUCAAAUUAUGUUGAAGGGAGGGCUUUGAAAACCAAGACCACAAAGGCAAUAUGUAGAUUUAUAUUAAAAGACAUCUUUAGCAGAUAUGAUAGCAUUGGGAGGAUAAGAGCUGAUAAAGGAAAAUUGGAUGUCAUUGAAGCAAGAGAAUUUUCCAACAAGUAAAAAGUUCAACUGAAGUUGACUACUUCUUAUAAUCCUAAAGCCAAUGAAAAGAGUGAGAGGGGUCCUCUUCCUAUCAUUUAUGCAUUCGUUAAGGCAUGUAAGGGUAAGUCAAUUCAAUGGCCUAAACUACUUCUAUUAAUUUUUUGGAUUGAUAGGACUACUCAUAGUACUGUCAAUGAUUAUACGGCUAUGGAAUUAAUGUUAGGACAAAAACCUAUGAUGCCUACUGAAGAAACUUAUCCUAUAUAGAUGUUUUUAUCUUGAGAAAAUGAUAUAAAUAGAAAAAGAUUAUUGAAGCUUUGAAUCUAACAAUUAGGUAGGUUACCUAAGACCUACAAAUUGUAGUUGAGAUAUUAAAAGAAGCAAGAUUGAAAAAUAAAGAAAGAUUUUAUAAGACUCAUAGAUUGAGGCCUAAGUCUAUAGAGAUUGGAGAAUGGAUUCUAGUUUAUCAUAACAACCUUGAGUAUCUGCAUAGUACUAUAAAAAAAUUUACAAAAAAAUCGUUUGGACCAUAUGAAGUGGUUACAGUCUAUGAUAAUGCCACAUAUACUUUACGUAAAUUAGAUAGAGCUAUCAUAAGGAUUCCAAUAGCAAGAAAAAGGAUGAAGACUUUCAAGAGAAGAGAUAGGUAGUUUCAAAUAGAAGACCUUGAAGAAUUCUUACCUCAAUAUUUGGACCAAGAAGAUGAAGAAGAAGAGCCAGUGAGUGAUUCAAAGAAAUUUCAAGAGGAUGAAGAAGAGUAACACGUGGCACAUACCGGAGGAUGAGCAGGUUUGGAAGGAGUGGAUGUCAUACUAUAAUUGCUUAUAAUAUGUAAAAAUUAAUUAAGACAUAUAAUAUGUUUGUAAGUCGAUGUAGAUUAGAGUGGUUAGUAAAUAAAUUUAAAGAGAAUUGAUAUAGGAAAAUUUAUUUGAAGAUUUGUCUAUUUUGAUUAUAGUAUUUAUAUUAUGUAGGAUUUAGAUAUUUAGUGUAAAAUUUAAAGAAAUUUUGGAGUCUAAAGAUGAAAGUCUAAACUAUUAAGAGGCUUAUUGGGAGGGAUGAAAGCAAGGCAUGGUUGGAUGAAGGAAAGGAAUAAAAAUCUUCAUUCUAUUGGUCGAAGGCCAUGUCCAAUGGGCUUCAAGGAGGCUGCUUGAGGCCUUAUUAGAGAUUAGGAUUUCUCUUUUGAUGUCAUUUGAGCUUUGGAGGCUAAAUUCAGCAAGUUCAGGGUUUUUGGUAUAAUUUGGAUGGAGAAUUUGUGUGAUUUCGAGUUUUUAUGAAGGAGAUAUAGGUGUUCAAAGUUAAGGUAUCAAAUUUGUAUCUACUAUCACUCUUUGAAGCGUAACAUAAGCGUACAGAGAGCAAUGAAUGAUCGGUGAUUAGAAUUGGAGAGAACACUUUCUUGGCUACACUUUACAUAUAUUGUUUGAUAAAUUCUAAGUCUAGAUGAAGGAGUUAUACGGCAUUGAAGACAGCACAUGUAAUUCAAAGGUAGAAAGUGAGUCAUUUUGUUGAUAGUAAUGUUUGGAGCCAUAUCUUGAGUUUAUGGACGAAUUUUUGGCUCAAAAUUUCCAUAAGUGUGAGUUAUUAAGUUGAAAAGCUAUAAAAAAAAGUUUCAUGGUAUUUGAAUACUUAUUUUGUGAGAUAUGAAGAAAUUAGCACGCGGGUGUAUGUAAGCUAGGAUUUAAAGCUACUAUUAGGGUUUUGGUGAUAUCUCAAGAUCCGUAAUGAAUUUGUUAGAAAAUAUUUUUGUGGUAGUUUUUGAAAGCAAAUCAGUACUUCUUGUAAAAUUUAGGGUUUUUUUGGAUAGUCCGAUUGUGAGAUAUGAGCUAUUGAAGUUUAGAAAACAUCUCUUAUAAGGAUAUAUAAGAUUUUAAGAUACUUUAUUAUACAUUUGGAUGUUUUCUUAGUACUUGGGCUUAUGUUUUGAUGUAAUUAUCCAAAAUGAGAAAAUAUUAUAUAUAUAAACUUGGUAUUUUUAUAUCUUAGACUUGAUUGAGUAUUUAGUGGCAGCUAGAAGCUUAGCGCUUUCUUGAGGCAAACUCUCUCUACUCCGACAUCGUGUAUAUAGAUCACAAGAAUCUCAAGUAUUUCAUGGCAAUAUGUAUUUUGAAUUUUUACUUAGUUCUUUAGAAUAUGGCUUUAUUAAGAUUUGAUUUCAAGAUAAUAUAUCAAACUAAAAAACAA